rnacentral:lncRNA from 1 species
CAACCCCAUCCUCAAGAAGGUUACAUGGAGCUUUCAAGACCUGUAGUAGAACAUUGUGGAGGGGUUCCAUUAGCUCUUCAAGUUCUGGGAUCUUCUCUAUUUGGAAAAACAGUAGAUGUAUGGAAAAAUGCAUUACACAACCUAGACGUGAUUACUGAGGGAAAAAUUCAAAAGAUUCUUGGCAUAAGUUUUCAUUCUUUACAAGAUCAUGAUAAACGUUUAUUCCUCCACAUAGCCUGUUUCUUCGUAGGGAAGGACAAGGAUUUUACAACUACAAUCCUUGACGAAUGUGAUUUUGCCACAGAGGUUGGACUUCAACAUCUGGUUGAUAGAUGCCUUGUGGAAAUUAAUGUCCACAACAAGUUAAUCGUGCAUCAAUUACUUCAAGACAUGGGAAGGGCAAUAAUUCAUGAAGAAUCACCUGAGGACCCUGGAAAACGCACUAGACUGUGGCAUAAAGAUGCAUUUAACGUUUUGACAAAAUUAACGCACUACAAGAAAAAGGCCUUUUUGCGACACAUUUUUUGCGUCAAAUUACACUAUCGUCGCAAAUAAAAGGAAAUUAGCGCGGUAUUUGUUAGCGCGAAAAUAUUUGCGACACCACUAUAAGUAACGUCGCUAAUAAUGUCGCAAAUAGAAAUAUAUGUCGUCUUAAACAGAUUGUUUGCGACGCCCCUAACGACGGAUAGAGUUUGAGCGGGAACAAAUUGGCGCUUAGGGUUUGAGCGCGCGCACUCCUUUUUUCUUUUUCCCAACGCAGCCUUAGUGCUCUCCCUCAACCGUUUCUGUUUCCUUUUCCUUUUCUCUCAGAGAUUCAAUCGAAAAUUCUGGAGUUGUAUCAGAGUUACGGAGCACAAUCAGAGUUCAGGUAAGCCACUACAACCAUCUCCAUCUUCUUUCUUUUUUGAUUCCAUAAGUCUUGCUAAGUGAUUUAUAGGGUUUCUGUCAAAGGCGCACAUAUCUGCUAAAUGUCUUCCAAAACCUAGGGUCUUUGGCAUCCGGGAUUGGGAUGUCUUUCUUUUUUCCACCCAUUCUGCUCAGAAUCGGUUUGAUCAUCUUCCUCAGUACCUUGUUAAACCCCAACCCACGUCUUUGAUUGCUAAGUGAUUCCAUAAGUCUUGCUUAGUUCUCUCCCUCAGCCUUAGUUUUCUCCCUCAACCGUUUCCGGUUCCAAUUAUUAGUUUGGACUGGACAACGCCUGCGUUUUGGGCUGCAGGUUUUCUUAAUAUGUUUACAGCACAAACAGAAAAUUUUAGUUAAAAACAAACCCUGUUUUCUUAAUAUGUUUACAGCACAAAUAGUAAUUGAUUUUUAGGGGGAUUGUGCUUCUUGAUUUUCUAUGUGCCUUUAUUUUUAAUUCGUGGACAUCUUGCCCAAUUUUUUUUUUUUUUUUUUUUUUUGUAAUUUUGUUGGCAUUUGCAACAAUAUAUUUGGCUUCUUCUUCUUCCUUAAAAAUAUGGUGAAUGAUUAGAGUGUACCUUUUACAGGCGUUGCUUUUCCAUAGAUUGGGAAGAUCUUGGAGAAGGCCCUCGCACAAGGUAAAGUGGAUGAUGUAGGAUUGUUUUUUUGUGUGCUGACUAAAAGUUUACCUUGGAGUAAUCUCUUAUUUGUGACACUCCUUGAAAUUCUGGAUAUAUUUUCUUUGAGUAUCAUAUGCAAAAGUCAAAGUUGCCCAAAGUUCAGAGGAUACAUUGAAUGAAGAAUUGGAUAUGUAUUUCGUAUUUGCUACCCAAGAAUAUGACCGUUUGGAUUGUUAAUUACCCAUUCCUAGCUAGUUCAUGUGUUAGGUAGGUGAAUGAUGGGGAUUAGUAGUGAGUUUAUCUAAUUUUUAAGUGAUAGUUGAUGGCAGACCUAGAGUUUGUCUAAUUACCCAUUCAACUCAUAUUAUAUAAGCCCACCUUUUAAAACUCAAUUGCUUCCCUUUAUUAUUUAUAUUUUUAAUAACUAGUAUUAUCAUUAUGAAUGUUGAGAUAACUCUGUAUGUGUAUCGCCUAUUCCGAGCUCACACAUUAUCAUGCGUUAAUGCAUAUUCUUUUGUGUUAAAGUAGAAUACUGUUUUUGGAAUAGUUUGGAUUGACAACUUAUCUCAUAUUGCUUAGUGUUUAACAUUCUUUUGUAGUUCAAAUAUUUUGGAUUAACUAUAGAGAUCAGAUCAAGGGUGCUUAAUUCUUAGUUCGGUAUGUUUUAUAUCCACCUUUUAAAUAAAUUUUUGAUUAAUUUUACUUACUUUCUUUGUAUUAUUUUCGGAUGACAUUAGGUAUGGACAAGAGUUGGAUAGAUUUAAAUGACAGAUGUCCCUGAUGCAUAUAAAUUUCAUUGCUUAAAGGUUAUUGGCAAUAGAUGGAGGGAUUGGAAGUGUCGGGUUAAGCAAAGAUGGUAUGACGCAUACUUGACCGAUGAACAACGUUUAUCCUUCACUCCUCCUCAAGUCACUACAGAUCAAUGGAAGACACUAGUAAAGUAUUGGGGCCUCCCUAAUAUAAAGGUAAAUUAGGAAAAAUUACAUUUUAAGUUUAUAAUAGUGAUGAAUUAUGGUUGCUUUAAACAUGUGUAGGAAUAUUCUGAGGCAAAUAAGGCUAAUCGUGCACAUGGAGGUGCUCCUCAUCGGACUGGUCGUACUUCAUUUGCUCAAUUGAAACAUGAGGUCAGAACACUAGUUUUGCAGUGAGUAAUAAGUGAUAAUAAUUAACAAUAGGACUAAUACUAAUACAAGCAGGGGAUGUAUAUAUAUAAACCAUGCUGGAAAACUGGAAUGGUAUCAUUUGUACCAGGUCCAAUUUGAAUACGGCAUGAUGGAAAUGCUGGAAAGUUUUUAUUUUCUCCAUUUAACAAUUUUCAUUACUAACUUGAUUAAACAUUGUGUGCUCUUAAGAUGAGAGAGAAGGGAGAGAAAACGGAUCAGUUGAGCAUGUUUAUAAAAACAAGAACAAAGAAAACAAAGAAUGAUGACAGAGACCUUUUCGAUGAGGAAAGUGGCCAAAUUAUUGUAAGUAUCAGUUAGGUUAUAUAUUUUUCACUCAAAGUAAAACUUUGCAUAUUCACAUCGUUUUGAUUAGUUGGGUUGUGCAUUAUUUUUAUCUUUUGGUCAUUUGAAUUGGUUGGGUCAUGUUUUGUAGAAUCAAUUUAAUCAAUGCUUGGAAGAAAGGGAAGAGCAUGAGCAAGACGAGGAUUAUCGAGAGGAGGUGUUUACUAGAGUUAUGGGACCUGAUGCAUAUGGACGUGUUCGCAUGUAUAGAACAGGUAUAACUCCAUCUCAAGUGUUUUGUCAAAGUUCAAGAUCUUCCAAUGUUAAUGAGGACACCAUACGAGAAGAGGUAGAAAGACAAUACAAGACUAAGAUAGAUGAUCUUAAGGCUAAGCAUGAAUCUGAAAUUGAAGAUCUCCGAUCCAAGUAUAGUGAAGUCAGUUCGAAACUCCAUCUUGUGACGACUCAUAUUGGUUUCCAUGUUAACACAUCACCAAGUGGAAGUGGACAGGUAUAUACAUUCGAAUGUGAUUUUGUUCUCUUUUCAAUUUAUUAGAAUAAAUUAGUGUGAAAAUUUGAGCAAUUUUGAUUUCUAUUUGUCGUGUUGGUGUUAAAUAUAGGCUCCAAAUACAUCAAGCCAUCUACAAGAAACAUAUGGGAGUAAUGAGCAACAACCUCAGUUAGACCCAGAACCAUAGAAACAAUUGCUUCAUAAAAGGUUUGUAAAGAAAACAUUAUACUAAAGAUUAAACUUUUAAUUGACACAUGUUAUUGAUGGCUGUGUAAUUCUUAUUUUUCAGGUUUGCAUGGAGAUUGUGAUGAAGAGUCUUGAUCAUAAUUAAACUCUUGAAUAUGUUGGAGCAUAUUUGAAAAAAAAAAUUAUGUUCAUAACUUUUGAGACGAGAUUAUUUAUAUUUGACUCUAGUAGGAUUAUAUGUAUUGGGAUAUGCGGAUGGUGUACUUUCAAUGUUAUUAGGAAUUCUAAAAGCAUAGUUCUUUGAUUCAUAUAUUAUUUUACUUUUGAACUUGGGAUGAUUGUGAAUAAGAUUAUAAAUUGCAACCUAAUCUUUCAUUGAACAAAUAUCAUUUCCAACCAUUUUGUAUUUAUAACAAAAAAAAUUGUAGGGAUAAAAGCAUUUACGACGUGUCAAACAUGUCCCAAAUAUUUUGUUUAAUUCCACCAUCAAAGCCGUUGCGACGCUAACUAUUGUGUCGCAAAGCUGUCGUAAAAGAACUUCGCGGCGCUUGAAAUGUGUCGCAAUAAGUUGUGAAAACUUUUGCGACAUGGGUUUGUUGCGACGCAAUCACAAGUGUCGCAUGAGCGUCGUUAAAACGCAUAAACGACGCUUUCAUGACUUAACACGACGAGUUUUUAGCGUCGUAUUUAGCAAGUUUUUUUGUAGUGACGGUAAGAAACAUGAAUUUUAUGUGUAUAUAUUUGCAAUGGUGUUCUACAUGGUAACUUAUCCAAUGUUAUUAUUUGUUAGCAGGGUACGAGAACUAUCAAGGGCCUCAUGCUCCACUUUCUCCCAUCAGAUUCAUCUCCGGUAAAUGAGGUAGGUUUCAAAACAAAGGCAUUCACAGAGAUGCUCCAUCUUGAACUACUUCUGCUUGAUAAUGUAAAGUUGAGUGGUGUGGAGCCAAAAAUAUUCACAAAGCGACACGUGGGUUUUUGGACAAAAAGGACAAAAAUACCCUCGAGGCAUACCGGGUCUCCUACACGCGAGCAGUGGAGAAUCAUCCAUCAACCAAGUCAGAAGUACCCAAAAUGGGUAACAAUUCAAAACCUAUUUCAUAUAUGUUUUUACCUCAUUGUUUCCUUAUUCAAUUAGCCAUUUAUUUCAAACAUUCCAUAACAUCCUCAACCAAUUAAUAUAAUCAAUAUAUUAAAGGCUAAUUACAUCACCAAAUCACCCCAAAAUCACACCAAGGGCCGGCCAUUCCCAUCCAAAAAGAGCCUAUCAUAUUCUCUACCUUUUCCACUAUUUUCCCUUUUUAAUUACACUAAUUAGCUAGCCAAUUAAACCCAUAACCAUCAAAACAUUCCUUUAUGUUUAAAUUAGCCAAUUAAUCAUAAUAAAUUGGCUAAUUAAACCUAAAUUAAACCUAAAAACCCUAGCCACCUCUUAACUCUAUAAAUAGGCACCUAUUCUCACCAAAAAAUCAAGUCCAACACUUUGGCAAAAAUCCCAAAAUUCUCUAAACACUCUUUCUCUCUAAAUUCUAACUUUGGCAUCGGAGGUUCUUCGGCCAAAGCCCCCCCCCCAUUCAUCGUGGGCGCGUGAGGCUCUUGGCCUUAACCUAAGGUGUUAAUUAUUUUGUAGGUGCAAAAUCGUCCAAAAUCGAGGAGGAAGAAAUUUGCAUCCACAAGUGGAAGCUAUGAAGAUUUUCCAAAAAAAUUAAUAUGGUUGUCUUGGAGAGGAUUGUCUUUAAAAUCAAUACCAGCCAAUUUUUGUUUGGAAAAUCUAGUUGCUCUUGACUUACGGAAGAGCAGUCUGCAACGUGUUUGGAAAGGAACAGGGUAUGUUCUAAUCUCUCUCACUCUCGCUCUCUCUCUAUCUUUCUCUCUCUAUCUCUCUCUCUCUCUCUCACUCCCAGUGUAUUAAAAGCGUGAGGCGUGGGCGAGGCGUCCGAGGGGAAGCCCGGCCUAGGCGUGAGGCAAAGCCUCACGGGACCUAAAUUUUUUAAUAUAUACACUGAGCGUACACAUAUAUUAUAUUAAAAAUAAGAAAAUUAUUAAUCAAUAAUCACCCUGAGCACACACAUAUAUUAUAAAUAUAUAUAUAUACACACAUAUAUAUACAUAUAUUAUAUUAUAUAUGCAUAAAAUAGAGGAUGAAAAGCACAAUGAGCACAUAUAUAACAAUGCACGCAAACAACACACAUCCAUUAUAUAAAAAAUAAAAAUCAGAAAAAAGGCAUAGAGACAAAAGUGCAAGGAAGAGGUAUGAGGCAGUUAAAAUCCUACCCAAAAUUUGGGUUUGGGAGUAAAGACAAGACAAAAAAAAAAAAAAAAAAAACUCACUGAGGCGUGCCUAGGCGGCUCCGGCGAAGCCUUUCGCCCACUCCAACAAAACUGAGGCGUUAGCCAUGGCGCCCAGCCUCAAGGGCGCCCUAGGCGCGCCUCGAGGCGAGUUUUUUAAAACAUUGCUCAAUACACACAAAUAAAAAUAAAUUUUAGUGAAAUUAGACUCUGUAUUCAUAGCAACUAAUGACUUCUCUUUGAUACAGUUUCUUACAAGAUUGAAAAUUCUUAAUCUCAGUCAUUCACAUGGCCUUUGGACAACAUCUGACUUGUCCGGACUCCCUAACCUUGAGAAACUAAUUCUUAAGGAUUGCAUUAAUUUGGUUGAUGUUGAUGAAUCCAUUGGAAACUUGGGGAAACUUGUUUUCUUGAAUCUAAAAGACUGCAAAAGUCUUAUGAAGCUUCCAAAAAGAAUGAACAUGAUGAGGUCUCUUGGGGAACUUAUUCUUACUGGUUGCUCAAAGCUUGUGCUUCAUGAUAGUGCCAUGGUUAUUUAUAUACACACUACAUCAAGGGACAUGAAUAAACUUAGACUGUUGUCAACUAUAUCAUGGACACCAAUCAGGUCUUGGUGGAUGUGGGCAUGGCCAAGAAAGACUCUUCAAUCAACCAGUUUCUCACUAGCAAGUUUACCACAUUGUUUGGGAAGCUUAAGUCUGUCUUACUGCAACGUGUCGGAGGUUCCCAAUGAUUUAUGUACACUAUCUUCCUUGAAAUAUUUGAAUCUAAUUGGUAACUCAAUUUUGUGCCUACCACCAAACAUGAAGAGUCUUAUUAUGCUCGAGACUCUUUUGUUAGAUAAAUCCAUAAACCUUGAAAUACUUCCAGAGCUGCCCCCAAGGUUGAAGAGGUUGGAAGCAAAAUAUUGUACAUCAUUGAAAAGAUUAACAAAUUUACCAUUGUUCGGAUCAUUAGAAUCACUGUUUUGGGGUUGCGAGCAAUUAGUUGAAGUUGAAAGCUUGUUGAAUAUAAAACCGUCGAGAAGCACUGACAUAGAAAUGAGAAGAUAUAUGGGCCCGUUCAAUUUGAAAUCCAUAACAAGCACUGAUGUUGAAAUGAUCAACUACUUGACCAGUACAACUAGGAAGGUUCCUGUCCAGGUCUUUCUCUCUGUCUCCUCUCUCAUGUAUAGUUGUUCUAAUUAUUAUAUCUAUGAACUAGUUGGGUCUAACUGUUUGAAUAAUUAAAUUUGAAUUGUGCAAUCUUGAUGAAGCAGGGAGUCUAUGAAUGUGGCGUAUAUAGCAUUUUCCUUCCUGGAAGCAAGAUUCCAGAUGGAUUUGGCUUCACAACAAUAUAUGGAUCAGCGCUGUCGGCUAUUGCAUCUUCACAUCCUAAUCUCAAAAUCCAAGCCUUGAAUGUAUGUGUUUUAUAUGCAAUAGAACCGGGCUUGGCAAUUGAUGACUAUCUUGUUAGUGCUCAGCAUUUAAUUAAAGUCAGUAAUCAGACCAAGGGUCUUAUGUGGACCUAUUCCUCAGUCACAGUAGGUUUUCCAACUGAGAAGGAAGAUAUGUUAUGGCUAAGCCAUUUUCAAAUUGGGAACAAUGAAUUGGAGUAUGGGGACCAAAUACGUGUUUCGGUGGAGAUGCAUGAUUUUUGGAUAAAGGAGUUCGGAAUCCAGCUUGUGUACGAGCAGGAAAAAGACCUCCUUCUAGCCAGAAUAAUGUUGUUGCUGGAGAUGUGUCAAUGUCAGCAUCAGAGUACCAAACGUGGACAGGAUCAUACUUUCUCAGUAAUCAUAGGCGCCGUACUCAUCAAACUCAAUUCCGAAAGAGACAGAAGAAUCCAGCACAUAUUGAAUUUUCGUUUGAGCCAAAGCAUUAGCUUCAUACUUAUUCAAGGCCCAAAGACAACAACAACAACAACAACAACAACAACAAAGCCUUUUCCCACCAAGUGGGGUCGGCUAUAUGAAUCCUAGAACGCCAUUGCGCUCGGUUUUGUGUCAUGUCCUCCGUUAGAUCCAAGUACUAAAAGUCUUUUCUUAGAGUCUCUUCCAAAGUUUUCCUAGGUCUUCCUCUACCCCUUCGGCCCUGAACCUCUGUCCCGUAGUCACAUCUUCGAACCGGAGCGUCAGUCGGCCUUCUUUGCACAUGUCCAAAUCACCGGAGCCGAUUUUCUCUCAUCUUUCCUACAAUUUCGGCUACUCCUACUUUACCUCGGAUAUCCUCAUUCCCAAUCUUAUCAUUUCUCGUGUGCCCACAAAUCCCACGAAGCAUCCUCAUCUCCGCUACACCCAUUUUGUGUACGUGUUGAUGCUUCACCACCCAACAUUCUGUGCCAUACAACAUCGCUGGCCUUAUUGUCGUCCUAUAAAAUUUUCCCUUGAGCUUCAAUGGCCUACGACGGUCACACAACACGCCGGAUGCACUCUUUCCAUCCAGCUCGUAUUCUAUGGUUGAGAUCUCCAUCUAAUUCUCCGUUCUCUUGCAAGAUAAAUCCUAGGUAGCGAAAACGAUCGCUUUUUGUGAUCUUCGCUAGAUUGCUCCGGUCAUUAGUGUGGAUAAGUAUAUAAAUGGAUAGAGAUAGGAAAGCAAAUACAAGAUGUACGUGGUUCACCCAGAUUGGCUACGUCCACGGAAUAGAAGAGUUCUCAUUAAUUGUGAAAGGUUUACACAAGUACAUAGGUUCAAGCUCUCCUUUAGUGAGUACAAGUGAAUGAUUUAGUACAAAUGACAUUAGGAAAUAUUGUGGGAGAAAGAUCUCGUAAUCACGAAACUUCUAAGUAUCGGAGUGUGGUGUCGUCUUGACUUGCCUUAUCUGUCUCAUAGGUAGAUGUGGCAUCUUCUCUGGAAGUACUCUUCCUCCAUCCAGGGGUGGUAUCUUUAACUGGUGGAGAUGCACAAGGUAAUGUAUCAAUUUCACUUGAAGCUUACUUGUAGUUUCAGGCUUGGUCAAGCGCGAUACAAACCAUGUAGUAGGAGUCCCCCAAGUCGCCGAGCUGGUGGAGAUGCCCUAUCUGUUCCUCAAGCAGAUGCGGAAUCUUCCCUGGAAACAUAAGAUGUUGAAGAUGAGUACUCGAGAGCAAUGCCAGGUAAGUAAUCAGGUAAGGGGUUCCAGGCAGUCAGUUCCUGGCUGGAAGCUUGAUUCCAAGUGCUGACUGAUUGCUCUCUUUCUCCUUGUCUUGCAGGUAAAAACAAGGCCAAAAGAAAAAACAGGGAAAAAGCAUGAUAUGGGAUACUCUUGCUUUUAACCCUGAUGAUAUGAGAUAUUCUUGCUCUAGUAUAGCUUGUUUGCAGAGGUAUUAUCGGGGGGAAAGAAAGCUGAAUAUUUCGAAAGGCUUCGUUGGGAGUGCCCUCUCAGAUAUGAUGAAGGGUUGAGCAUUUUUGCAGGUCUGCCUGUCCGUUGGGGAUGGAGGUCGACAUAUAUAGGAGUCUCCCUAACAACAAGUAGUAAUGCUAUUCCUUUACCCUGCUUGGUCAUAGCACGGUAGUGGGAGCUGCUAGUUUCACAUGUUUUAACUCUGUCAGAGCACUUUGAAAAAGUGGUCUGUGGUAUCUGGCUCUCGAGAUUCGGAGAACGAUGCCUCUUCGAGUUUUGAGAAAGCAAUCAUGAUGGGGGUCUGACUCUCGAGAUUCGGAGAGCAGUGUCUCUUAGAUUUUUGAGGAAGUAAUCAUGUUGGGAGUCUGGCUCUCGAGAUUCGGAGGGCGGUGCCUCUUCGAUUUUGGAGCAAGCAAUCUUGUUGGGAGUGUUGUCUCGAAUGUGAGUAAAGGUUGGACAUGUUUGCUAGUCUACCUUGCCACGAAGCACAAAGGUUGACACACAGGGACUUUCCAAUUAUCCAGCAAUGGUACUGUUCCUUUACCCUAUCUUCGAUUUUGAGAAAGUAGUUAUGUUGGGAGUCUGGCUCUCGAGAUUCGGAGGACGGUGCCUCUUCGAUUUUGGAGCAAGCAAUCUUGUUGGGAGUGUUUUCUCGAAUGUGAGUAAAGGUUGGGCAUGUUUGCUAGUCUACCUUGCCACGAAGCACAGAGGUUGACACACAGGGACUUUCCAAUUAUCCAGCAGUGGUACUGUUCCUUUACCCUUGUGGGUAAUAAUAUGGUAGCUAGACCUUCAAAAUUUAUGUGUCUAAACUUUGUUAGUGCUGUUUCUUUGCUAUUCUUUUACCUUUCUUGGUCAGAGCGAUGUAGUGGGAGCUGCAAGCUUCACGUGCUCAACUUUGGCAGAGAACUUUGGCAAAGUUAUCUGUGGUACCCAUGAGUUAUUGUUGUGUGUGGGAAGUGGGUGAUUGAACAGUAAGAUUCAUGUGCUUUCUACUUCACCAGAAGUCUUCGACAGAAUGCCCAUAAUUUCUGCAAAGCUGAGUGUGCGUGUGACAGGUGCUGACAAGGCUAGAAAAGUAGGUGCCUCUUCGAUUUCUGAGAUCGGCCCUCGUGGUCUCUGAGCAGCCCAGCUUUUGAGAAAGCGAACGCCUCUUCGAUUGAUUCGGAGAACGAUGCCUCAUCGAUUUUUGAGAAAGCAAUCAUGCUGGGGGUCUGGCUCUCGAGAUUCGGGGAGCAGUCUCUUCGAUUUUUGAGAAAGUAAUCAUGUUGGGAGAGUGGCUCUCGAGAUUCGGAAGGCGGUGCCUCUUCGAUUUUGGAGCAAGCAAUCUUGUUGGGGGUGUUUUCUCGAAUGUGAGUAAAGGUUGGGCAUGUUUGCUAGUCUACCUUGCCACGAAGCACAGAGGUUGACACACAGGGACUUUCCAAUUAUCCAGCAAUGGUACUGUUCCUUUACCCUCUCUUCGAUUUUUAAGAAAGUAAUCAUGUUGGGAGUCUGGCUCUUUAGAUUCGGAGGACGGUGCCUCUUCGAUUUUGGAGCAAGCAAUCUUAUUGGGAGUGUUUUCUCGAAUGUGAGUAAAGGUUGGGCAUGUUUGCUAGUCUACCUUGCCACGAAGCACAGAGGUUGACACACAGGGACUUUCCAAUUAUCCAGCAGUGGUACUGUUCCUUUACCCUUGUGGGUAAUAAUAUGGUAGCUAGACCUUCAAAAAAUUUAUGGGUCUAAACUUUGUUAGUGUUGUUUCUUUGCUAUUCUUUUACCUUUGUUGGUCAAAGCGAUGUAGUGGGAGCUGCAAGCUUCACGUGCUCAACUUUGGCAGAGAACUUUGGCAAAGUUAUAUGUGGUACCCAUGAGCUAUUGUUGCGUGUGGGAAGUGGGUGAUUGAACAGUAAGAUUCAUGUGUUUUCUACUUCCCCAGAAGUCUUUGACAGAAUGCCCAUAAUUUCCGCAAAGCUGAGUGUGCGUGUGACAGGUGCUGACAAGGCUGGAAAAGUAGAUGCCUCUUCGAUUUCUGAGAUCGGCCCUCGUGGUCUCUGGGGAGCCCAGCUUUUGAGAAAGCGAGCGCCUCUUCGAUUUCUGAGAUCGGCCUUCGUGGUCUUUAAGCAGCCCAACUUUUGAGAAAUCAAACGCCUCUUCGAUUUCUGAGAUCAACCCUCGUGAUCUCUAAGCAGCCCAACUUUUGAGAAAGCAAACGCCUCUUCGAUUUCUGAAGCUCCGUCGAGUGCAGAUUUUUAUAGGGGCUGGCAUUAAGUUCCAAAGCACACUUGAAUCUCCACCAGUAGAAGCUUCAUUCUUGCACUUCUAAGAUCUUGAUUUGUCCGACCUCUUCUCUCUUCAACACCUUUGAAAAUGUCUGGCCCCUCCGACCGUCGUUUUGACUUAAACCUUGUUGAAGAGGCAGCCCCGCCUUCUCCAGACAACAUAUGGCGCCCAUCCUUCGUCUCCCCAACUGGUCCUCUUACCGUUGGGGAUUCCGUGAUGAAGAAUGAUAUGACCGCUGCGGUGGUGGCCAGGAACCUUCUCACUCCCAAAGAUAACAGACUACUUUCCAAACGGUCUGAUGAGUUAGCUGUUAAGGAUUCGUUGGCUCUCAGUGUUCAGUGUGCAGGUUCUGUGUCUAAUAUGGCCCAACGCCUAUUUGCUCGAACCCGCCAAGUUGAAUCAUUGGCGGCUGAAGUGAUGAGUCUCAAACAGGAGAUUAGAGGGCUCAAGCAUGAGAAUAAACAGUUGCACCGGCUCGCACAUGACUAUGCUACAAACAUGAAGAGGAAGCUUGAUCAGAUGAAGGAAACUGAUGGUCAGGUUUUACUUGAUCAUCAGAGAUUUGUGGGUUUGUUCCAAAGGCAUUUAUUGCCUUCGUCUUCUGGGGCUGUACCACGUAAUGAAGCUCCAAAUGAUCAACCUCUGAUGCCUCCUCCUUCUAGGGUUCUGUCCAGUACUGAGGCUCCAAAUGAUCCCCCUCUGAUGCCUUCUCUUUCUGGGGCUCUCUACCGACUGCUGAGACUUCUCCUAAGCAACCUUUGUGAAGGCUCCCUCUUGUGUGUUUAUUUUGACUCAUGUAUAUGUACAUAUUUGUAGCUUAUCGGGGAUAUCAAUAAAUAAGCUUUCCUUCAUUUCAACGUAUUGUGUUAAAUACACCAAAUCCUUCUUCGCUAAGUUCUUUGAAUUUUCUUUUGUUGAAGCUUGUAUGUUGAAGCUUGUAUGAUUCAAGGCCCAAAGACCAUUGAAAAUAUUUUGAAACUUAGAGCAUGUCCAGCAGAUUCCCCAUCUACAUCUACUCACCUAUUUUGGAGAAAAUGAAGAGAAACCUCCUUAGUACUUUUUCCAACAUCAUUCGUUCAUGGUUGGAAGGAAAGAUCAGCAUCAAUUAUCCUGGUGAGUGUCGUCUUUUUGUUCUUUCUUGUUGAAUUUUUGAUGUGUAUUUCAUAUCAAAACAAUUACAAGAUGAAACAUUAUAUAGGAAAAGAAAGAGAACAUAAGCCUAACUUGCCUAACUUGCCUAACUUGCCUAAUUUCCUAACUUGCCUAACUUGCCUAAUUUACACAAAGAAGGUUGACUAGCCUAACUUCACUAGUCAUCCAACAUGUUUAUUUCAUGCAUGCAUUUUAACAAAAGAUAUGACUUGCAUGAAUUCCAACAUUUCUUGUUAUAUCUUUCUCAAUAUAAACUCAUGGGUUUGUUGGAUUUGUUGCUCUUUGUUUAUUGCUUUGAUUUGUUAAUUGAAUGAAUAUAUUAAACAAAAGGAGGGGAAAGCUCUACGAACUCGUGUAGUUGAUGCAUGUAGUACUCAGUACUACUCUUUCAGACAAUAAUCCUAACUUUUAAUCCCACUUAACGUAAUACAAUUUGGUGUCUGUAGUAUGUUUGGUGGUCUAGAUCACUCAUUUGAGAUAUACAUGUGAACCAGAAAGCUGUUUAACUUGGAAAAAGGCGAAAUUUAGCAUGCCCAUGAACUUUUAAAAUGUUGGGAGCAGCUCAGGUUUGAGUCCCAGCAAAGGAAUGCUUUUCUUAAUUUUUGCACGACUUACAGCUGGUGCGAGGGACCUCUGCGCGUUAACUAUGUGUCAGUCUGGGUCCAUUUAUUCCCUAGCCAUCAGUGUGCUGUCUAACUUUGUCUUUUAUAUUCACAAAAAAGCAUUGGCAGUCUUGACAGUGUCGAAACUGUUUACCGUGUUCAAACCGUGUGCAGGGCGUGUCAGCAUGUCAGAGUGUCUGACACUUUGAGGUUUGGGAGUGUCCGUGCAACCUAGGCUUCAAGGACGAGAUGGACAAGGUGGAGAAGUGGAGAAGAGCGCUUACUGAUGUUGCAAAUCUGGGAGGGAUGGUUCUAGAAGAUCGGUAAUUUCGUAAAACAUUUUCUUUAAUUUGAAAGUAUUAUCUAUAUAUGACCUUUUAGAGGUCGCACUUGGUGCGAUGGCAAGUGCCUUCGCCUAUGAGCGGUAGGUCUCAGGUUUGAGACUUGGGAGCAGCCUCUCCAUAAAUGGGGUAAGGCUAGCCGACAUUCACCUCUCCCAGACCCUGCGUAAAGCGGGAGCCUUGUGCACUGGGUACGACCUUUUUUUAUCUAUAUAUGACCUUUUAUAACUUGUUUAUUAGGCACAUUAUUGUUAGCUUAUUGGAGACUAAGGCCACCCCUCUUUCUUUUAGGGUAGAUAAUAUCGUUUGUUGACAAAAAAAAAAAAAAAAAAACUUGUUUAUUAGGUUGAUGAUAGUAAAGCCAUAUGGAGUUGACGGAUUUUGGGUUUAUAACUUUAUACUAUCUUUCAUGUACCUGUGCAGCAAUAUUUUUUAGAAGAUUCAAAUUUUCAAGUCAAUUUUUCAAUGUCUUAUAUAUAAUCUACCUGCAUUACUCAUGUCAAUCAUCAAUUACUCUUUUCUUUAGAUAAAAAUUACAUAGUCUUCAUAUGAUUUGAUGUCUAAUGACCAUAUGUUGUAGGGUAUGAGUGGCAGUUUAUCCAAGAUAUUGUUCAAGAGGUUGGAAGUAAGCUGGAUCGCGUGGCAGUAAAUGUUGCUCCCUAUGCUGUUGGAAUCGAUAAUUGUGUGCACGGAAUCAACAGAUGGUUAAAAGAUGAUUCGGGUGAUGCUGGUGCAGCGGUUAUCUAUGGGAUGGGUGGAAUUGGCAAAACCACCAUUGCCAAAGCUGCUAAUAAGACGAACCUUGCAAAAUUUUAAGGAAACGACAGCUUUCUUGCAGAUAUUGGCUUGCAAAUAAAUCUUCUUUCCGAUAUCCAAAGGGUGAAAGUAAAGAAAAUAAGCAAACAUGAAGGACUGAUCAAGAUUAAGCAUGCUGUAGGUUGCAAUAGAGUUCUUAUAGUUCUUGAUGAUGUGAACCAUUUGGACCAAUUCAAUGCAAUUCUUGGAAUGCGAUAGUGUUUUCACCCGGGAAGUAAAGUUACCGUAACAACUAGACAUAAAAGGCUCAUGAUAUUUAUCCAGUAUUUGAGAUUAAAGAACUGAGUGAAUAUGAAACACUGAAGCUUUUCAAGCGACAUGCCUUCGGGCAAGCCAAUCCCAUUGAAAGUUACUUGGAGUCAUGAACCUCGACCAAAUUGAAGCAAUCUUUGAGAAUCAAUUGCUAAUGGUUUGGGACUUCUGACAAGUUGGGGGUUGUCAUAAGGCCAUGUGAGUGACUGAGAUUAACGGUUCAGUCUUGGAAGGGAACCAGGGUAUGUUCUAAUCUCUCUCUCUCUCUCUCAAAAUACACACAAUCAAAAAUAAAUUUCAGUGAAAUUAAACUGUGUAUUCAUAGCAACUAAUGACUUCUCUUUGACACAGUUUCUUAGAAGAUUGAAAAUUCUAAAUCUUAGUCAUUCGCAUGGCCUUAGGACAACAUCUGACUUGUCCGGACUCCCUAAAGGAUUGCAUUAAUUUGAUUGAUGUUGAUGAAUCCAUUGGAAACUUGGGGAAACUUAUUUUCUUGAAUCUAAAAGACUGCAAAAGUCUUAUGAAGCUUCCAAAAAGAAUGAACAUGUUGAGGUCUCUUGAGGAAUUUAUUCUUACUGGUUGCUCAAAGCUUGUUCUUCAUGACAGUGCCACGGUUAUUCAUUUACACUCUACAUCUAGGGAUAUGAAUAAACUUAGACUGUUAUCAAUUAUAUCAUCGACACGAGAAAUUUUUCCAAAUGACCGGUACAACUGUUGAGUUGGAGUUCCCCUCCAAUUACAUGAUGCCACAUAUCCUACUACAGCUGCAUAGAUUAGUUUUGUUUAAUAAAAAAAAAAAAGAAAAAGAAAAAACUUGUAGAAGGUGUAAAGUCACCCUCCCAGCGGCCGAUCCCACCAAGGCGACUCACUUCCGAUUGACGACGACGAAGAAGAUUUCAGCUUCCUCGAGGACCCCACCGACCACAGCGCCGCCGCCCCGCACCAUUCAGAUUCGGACAAUUACGACGAUUUCGAGAACUUCUCCGAUGUCGACGAGGACGCUUUCAGGAGAUGAUGGCAGGCUUGGUAGCCCCAAGACUCCUAACUGGGUUUAUGGCAUUUUCAGUGAUGGGGAUGGGGUGGUGGCCAUUUUCGGUGAUGGGUUGAUGCAAUUUUGGGUUUUUGAUCAAAACCCAUCAAAAUUCACCACCACUUAGUCAAAAAUCCAAAUCAAACCCCAACAAAAACAAUCAAAUUCACAAGUUUUAUCUGAGAAAGAAAAAAAAACAUGAACAGAUUAUGGAAAAGGGUGGAAUGGAUGCGGGUGGGGCGUAAUAGAAUGGAAAAGAGAGGAAUCUGUGUUCUUCAUUUAAUUAAUUUAAAUUCUAUUCUUAAAAUAAAUAUUAUUUGUCAUUAUAAGAUGAUGUCAACCUAGAUGUCAGAUGUUAAUAGGUGGAACACCAGGUCAGCAAAUGUACCCGUCACGUGGAAAAUUUUCUCCAUGGACACCAAUCAGGUGUUGGUGGAUGUGGGCAUGGCCAGGAAAGACUCAUCAAUCAACGAGUUUCUCUCUGGCAAGUGUACGCCCUUUUUUGGGAAGCUUAAGUUUGUCUUACUGCAACAUGUCAGGUUCCCAAUAAUCUGUGUACACUAUCUUCGUUGAAGCAUUUGAAUCUAAUUGGUAAUCCAAUUUUGUGCCUACCACAAAAAAUGAAGAGUCUUAUUAUGCUUGAGACUCUUUUGUUAGAUAAUUGCACGAACCUCGAAAUUCUUCCAGAGCUCCCACCAAGGUUGAAGAGGUUAGAAGCAAAAUAUUGUACUUCAUUGAAAAGAUUAAGAAAUUUACCAAACUUAUUCAGAUCAUUGGAAUCACUUUUUUGGGGUUAUGAGCAUUUAGUUGAAGUUGAAAGCUUGUUGAAUAUAAAACCGUUGAGAAAUGCUGACAUAGAAAUGACAAGAUAUAUGGGCCUGUGCAGUUUGAAAUCCAUAUCAAGCACUGGUGUCGAAAGAUCUCCAUCUAGCCAAAAUAAUGUUGUUGCUGGAGAUGUGUCAAUGUCAGCAUAAGAGUACCAAAUGUGGACAGGAAAAUACUUUCUCAGUAAUCAUAGGCACCGUACUCAUCAGGCUCAAUGGUUCACAACUUAUUCAAGGCCCAAGGACCAUUGGAAAAUAUUGCGAGAGAGGAUGUCCAGCAGAUUCCCCAUCUGCUUCUCGUAAUCUGUUUUGGCGAAAAUGAAGAGAAACAUCCUCAGUUCUUUGUCCAACAUCAGUCAUUUCAUUUAUGGUUGGAAAGAAAGACCAGCAUCAUUUUCCUUGGUGAGUAUCGUCGUUUUGUUCUUUCUUGUUCUCGUUCUGAGUAUAUACUCAUGGCUUUGUUGGAUUUGUUGCGCUUUUUGCUUAUUGUCAUAAAGAGCAAUCAAGGAAAAAAAAACCGGAACAGUCUGCAUGAGUUUGUUGGAAAUUAUAUAUUAUAGUAUAAAAUAUUGUAAUAUAUAAUUUUAAUAAUUGAAUGAAAAAAAUAGUGUUAACCAUAUUUCUUAGAAAUGUUAUGUUAUUUAGGUGCAUUCCCUUGUUAAAUAAUGUAUACUUAUAGAUGAAAAGUUACAUCUCCUAACAAGAAGUACUUGGGUUCUAUUUAAACUCAUGAAACCAUUAUCAUUAAAUAUAGAAAAUUAGAGUUAAUUUUUACUCUUGAGAAAUAAGGUUUUCUCACUUUGUUUCUCUCAUGGUUCGUGUGUCAAAUUCCAAGUCAUGUCUUGAAAGUACGGAAUAUAUAAAGUUCGUCAGAGUUUGAAGAUUGAAGUGCUUUGACUUCGGAUUAUGGAUUUUUGAAUCUUGAGAGAUGGACACCUACUGAACUACAAGCACACGAGUAUGGGCGAAAUUCUAUCUUUAGGACAUUACAUUUAUGCAAGCCUCAAUCUCCAAGUUUGUCAGUUUUUCUAACUUUAUCUCUAGUUGUUUAUAUUAAUCUCCAAUUGGACCUGUUUCAAAAAAUAGGUUAAAAAAAUUAGACCUAUUUCAAAUUAUCCCUUAUUAUUAUUACAUUUCUUAUGUUAUUUUCAUAUUUUCUAAUCUUCAACAGAGUUUGCAUAUGAAGUUUUCAACCCCCUAUAGAGCAAAACCAACUUGAGCGUAACAGCAGUGGGGCAACAUAUGUUUCUGAAAAUCCUACAGUUAGUUUCCCUCCAAAACUCCUUACAAACGAAUCUUGAGCACCUGCAUUGCCUAAUAAUUGUUUUAACUACCAUGUUAACAGAAGUAAUAACUGUAAACGGACUAUAACAGUUGAGAAAUAUUUAAGUACCAAAAAGAGUCAGCUAUAUCAGAAUAAUUAUACUAGAGUUGAGUCGUUUAACUUCUCAUCUGUUAUGGCUUAGUCCUUUUAUGGCGGACAUUAACUCCGUUUUUCUAUAUUUUCAGAGAAAGUUCGUAAAAUUUAAAUCCUAUUGUUCUUUUUUGGCCUUUUUCUAAUAUUUUUCUGCCUUUUUCUACUGUAGUACUACUCCAGACAAUAAUCCUAGUGGCCCAAAAUUAUAUCCUAACUUUAAAUCCCAAUUAAGGUGAUAUAAUUGGUUUUUUAUGUUUAUGCUCNNNNNNNNNNNNNNNNNNNNNNNNNNNNNNNNNNNNNNNNNNNNNNNNNNNNNNNNNNNNNNNNNNNNNNNNNNNNNNNNNNNNNNNNNNNNNNNNNNNNNNNNNNNNNNNNNNNNNNNNNNNNNNNNNNNNNNNNNNNNNNNNNNNNNNNNNNNNNNNNNNNNNNNNNNNNNNNNNNNNNNNNNNNNNNNNNNNNNNNNNNNNNNNNNNNNNNNNNNNNNNNNNNNNNNNNNNNNNNNNNNNNNNNNNNNNNNNNNNNNNNNNNNNNNNNNNNNNNNNNNNNNNNNNNNNNNNNNNNNNNNNNNNNNNNNNNNNNNNNNNNNNNNNNNNNNNNNNNNNNNNNNNNNNNNNNNNNNNNNNNNNNNNNNNNNNNNNNNNNNNNNNNNNNNNNNNNNNNNNNNNNNNNNNNNNNNNNNNNNNNNNNNNNNNNNNNNNNNNNNNNNNNNNNNNNNNNNNNNNNNNNNNNNNNNNNNNNNNNNNNNNNNNNNNNNNNNNNNNNNAGUCUAUGAAUGUGGCGUAUAUAGCAUUUUCCUUCCUGGAAGCAAGAUUCCAGAUGGAUUUGGCUUCACAACAAUAUAUGGAUCAGCGCUGUCGGCUAUUGCAUCUUCACAUCCUAAUCUCAAAAUCCAAGCCUUGAAUGUAUGUGUUUUAUAUGCAAUAGAACCGGGCUUGGCAAUUGAUGACUAUCUUGUUAGUGCUCAGCAUUUAAUUAAAGUCAGUAAUCAGACCAAGGGUCUUAUGUGGACCUAUUCCUCAGUCACAGUAGGUUUUCCAACUGAGAAGGAAGAUAUGUUAUGGCUAAGCCAUUUUCAAAUUGGGAACAAUGAAUUGGAGUAUGGGGACCAAAUACGUGUUUCGGUGGAGAUGCAUGAUUUUUGGAUAAAGGAGUUCGGAAUCCAGCUUGUGUACGAGCAGGAAAGACCUCCUUCUAGCCAGAAUAAUGUUGUUGCUGGAGAUGUGUCAAUGUCAGCAUCAGAGUACCAAACGUGGACAGGAUCAUACUUUCUCAGUAAUCAUAGGCGCCGUACUCAUCAAACUCAAUUCCGAAAGAGACAGAAGAAUCCAGCACAUAUUGAAUUUUCGUUUGAGCCAAAGCAUUAGCUUCAUACUUAUUCAAGGCCCAAAGACAACAACAACAACAACAACAACAACAACAAAGCCUUUUCCCACCAAGUGGGGUCGGCUAUAUGAAUCCUAGAACGCCAUUGCGCUCGGUUUUGUGUCAUGUCCUCCGUUAGAUCCAAGUACUAAAAAGUCUUUUCUUAGAGUCUCUUUCCAAAGUUUUCCUAGGUCUUCCUCUACCCCUUCGGCCCUGAACCUCUGUCCCGUAGUCACAUCUUCGAACCGGAGCGUCAGUCGGCCUUCUUUGCACAUGUCCAAAUCACCGGAGCCGAUUUUCUCUCAUCUUUCCUACAAUUUCGGCUACUCCUACUUUACCUCGGAUAUCCUCAUUCCCAAUCUUAUCAUUUCUCGUGUGCCCACAAAUCCCACGAAGCAUCCUCAUCUCCGCUACACCCAUUUUGUGUACGUGUUGAUGCUUCACCACCCAACAUUCUGUGCCAUACAACAUCGCUGGCCUUAUUGUCGUCCUAUAAAAUUUUCCCUUGAGCUUCAAUGGCCUACGACGGUCACACAACACGCCGGAUGCACUCUUUCCAUCCAGCUCGUAUUCUAUGGUUGAGAUCUCCAUCUAAUUCUCCGUUCUCUCUUGCAAGAUAAAUCCUAGGUAGCGAAAACGAUCGCUUUUUGUGAUCUUCGCUAGAUUGCUCCGGUCAUUAGUGUGGAUAAGUAUAUAAAUGGAUAGAGAUAGGAAAGCAAAUACAAGAUGUACGUGGUUCACCCAGAUUGGCUACGUCCACGGAAUAGAAGAGUUCUCAUUAAUUGUGAAAGGUUUACACAAGUACAUAGGUUCAAGCUCUCCUUUAGUGAGUACAAGUGAAUGAUUUAGUACAAAUGACAUUAGGAAAUAUUGUGGGAGAAAGAUCUCGUAAUCACGAAACUUCUAAGUAUCGGAGUGUGGUGUGUCGUCUUGACUUGCCUUAUCUGUCUCAUAGGUAGAUGUGGCAUCUUCUCUCUGGAAGUACUCUUCCUCCAUCCAGGGGUGGUAUCUUUAACUGGUGGAGAUGCACAAGGUAAUGUAUCAAUUUCACUUGAAGCUUACUUGUAGUUUCAGGCUUGGUCAAGCGCGAUACAAACCAUGUAGUAGGAGUCCCCCAAGUCGCCGAGCUGGUGGAGAUGCCCUAUCUGUUCCUCAAGCAGAUGCGGAAUCUUCCCUGGAAACAUAAGAUGUUGAAGAUGAGUACUCGAGAGCAAUGCCAGGUAAGUAAUCAGGUAAGGGGUUCCAGGCAGUCAGUUCCUGGCUGGAAGCUUGAUUCCAAGUGCUGACUGAUUGCUCUCUUUCUCCUUGUCUUGCAGGUAAAAACAAGGCCAAAAGAAAAAACAGGGAAAAAGCAUGAUAUGGGAUACUCUUGCUUUUAACCCUGAUGAUAUGAGAUAUUCUUGCUCUAGUAUAGCUUGUUUGCAGAGGUAUUAUCGGGGGGAAAGAAAGCUGAAUAUUUCGAAAGGCUUCGUUGGGAGUGCCCUCUCAGAUAUGAUGAAGGGUUGAGCAUUUUUGCAGGUCUGCCUGUCCGUUGGGGAUGGAGGUCGACAUAUAUAGGAGUCUCCCUAACAACAAGUAGUAAUGCUAUUCCUUUACCCUGCUUGGUCAUAGCACGGUAGUGGGAGCUGCUAGUUUCACAUGUUUUAACUCUGUCAGAGCACUUUGAAAAAGUGGUCUGUGGUAUCUGGCUCUCGAGAUUCGGAGAACGAUGCCUCUUCGAGUUUUGAGAAAGCAAUCAUGAUGGGGGUCUGACUCUCGAGAUUCGGAGAGCAGUGUCUCUUAGAUUUUUGAGGAAGUAAUCAUGUUGGGAGUCUGGCUCUCGAGAUUCGGAGGGGCGGUGCCUCUUCGAUUUUGGAGCAAGCAAUCUUGUUGGGAGUGUUGUCUCGAAUGUGAGUAAAGGUUGGACAUGUUUGCUAGUCUACCUUGCCACGAAGCACAAAGGUUGACACACACAGGGACUUUCCAAUUAUCCAGCAAUGGUACUGUUCCUUUACCCUAUCUUCGAUUUUGAGAAAGUAGUUAUGUUGGGAGUCUGGCUCUCGAGAUUCGGAGGACGGUGCCUCUUCGAUUUUGGAGCAAGCAAUCUUGUUGGGAGUGUUUUCUCGAAUGUGAGUAAAGGUUGGGCAUGUUUGCUAGUCUACCUUGCCACGAAGCACACAGAGGUUGACACACAGGGACUUUCCAAUUAUCCAGCAGUGGUACUGUUCCUUUACCCUUGUGGGUAAUAAUAUGGUAGCUAGACCUUCAAAAUUUAUGUGUCUAAACUUUGUUAGUGCUGUUUCUUUGCUAUUCUUUUACCUUUCUUGGUCAGAGCGAUGUAGUGGGAGCUGCAAGCUUCACGUGCUCAACUUUGGCAGAGAACUUUGGCAAAGUUAUCUGUGGUACCCAUGAGUUAUUGUUGUGUGUGGGAAGUGGGUGAUUGAACAGUAAGAUUCAUGUGCUUUCUACUUCACCAGAAGUCUUCGACAGAAUGCCCAUAAUUUCUGCAAAGCUGAGUGUGCGUGUGACAGGUGCUGACAAGGCUAGAAAAGUAGGUGCCUCUUCGAUUUCUGAGAUCGGCCCUCGUGGUCUCUGAGCAGCCCCAGCUUUUGAGAAAGCGAACGCCUCUUCGAUUGAUUCGGAGAACGAUGCCUCAUCGAUUUUUGAGAAAGCAAUCAUGCUGGGGGUCUGGCUCUCGAGAUUCGGGGAGCAGUCUCUUCGAUUUUUUGAGAAAGUAAUCAUGUUGGGAGAGUGGCUCUCGAGAUUCGGAAGGCGGUGCCUCUUCGAUUUUGGAGCAAGCAAUCUUGUUGGGGGUGUUUUCUCGAAUGUGAGUAAAGGUUGGGCAUGUUUGCUAGUCUACCUUGCCACGAAGCACAGAGGUUGACACACACAGGGACUUUCCAAUUAUCCAGCAAUGGUACUGUUCCUUUACCCUCUCUUUCGAUUUUUAAGAAAGUAAUCAUGUUGGGAGUCUGGCUCUUUAGAUUCGGAGGACGGUGCCUCUUCGAUUUUGGAGCAAGCAAUCUUAUUGGGAGUGUUUUCUCGAAUGUGAGUAAAGGUUGGGCAUGUUUGCUAGUCUACCUUGCCACGAAGCACAGAGGUUGACACACAGGGACUUUCCAAUUAUCCAGCAGUGGUACUGUUCCUUUACCCUUGUGGGUAAUAAUAUGGUAGCUAGACCUUCAAAAAUUUAUGGGUCUAAACUUUGUUAGUGUUGUUUCUUUGCUAUUCUUUUACCUUUGUUGGUCAAAGCGAUGUAGUGGGAGCUGCAAGCUUCACGUGCUCAACUUUGGCAGAGAACUUUGGCAAAGUUAUAUGUGGUACCCAUGAGCUAUUGUUGCGUGUGGGAAGUGGGUGAUUGAACAGUAAGAUUCAUGUGUUUUCUACUUCCCCAGAAGUCUUUGACAGAAUGCCCAUAAUUUCCGCAAAGCUGAGUGUGCGUGUGACAGGUGCUGACAAGGCUGGAAAAGUAGAUGCCUCUUCGAUUUCUGAGAUCGGCCCUCGUGGUCUCUGGGGAGCCCAGCUUUUGAGAAAGCGAGCGCCUCUUCGAUUUCUGAGAUCGGCCUUCGUGGUCUUUAAGCAGCCCAACUUUUGAGAAAUCAAACGCCUCUUCGAUUUCUGAGAUCAACCCUCGUGAUCUCUAAGCAGCCCAACUUUUGAGAAAGCAAACGCCUCUUCGAUUUCUGAAGCUCCGUCGAGUGCAGAUUUUUAUAGGGGCUGGCAUUAAGUUCCAAAGCACACUUGAAUCUCCACCAGUAGAAGCUUCAUUCUUGCACUUCUAAGAUCUUGAUUUGUCCGACCUCUUCUCUCUUCAACACCUUUGAAAAUGUCUGGCCCCUCCGACCGUCGUUUUGACUUAAACCUUGUUGAAGAGGCAGCCCCGCCUUCUCCAGACAACAUAUGGCGCCCAUCCUUCGUCUCCCCAACUGGUCCUCUUACCGUUGGGGAUUCCGUGAUGAAGAAUGAUAUGACCGCUGCGGUGGUGGCCAGGAACCUUCUCACUCCCAAAGAUAACAGACUACUUUCCAAACGGUCUGAUGAGUUAGCUGUUAAGGAUUCGUUGGCUCUCAGUGUUCAGUGUGCAGGUUCUGUGUCUAAUAUGGCCCAACGCCUAUUUGCUCGAACCCGCCAAGUUGAAUCAUUGGCGGCUGAAGUGAUGAGUCUCAAAACAGGAGAUUAGAGGGCUCAAGCAUGAGAAUAAACAGUUGCACCGGCUCGCACAUGACUAUGCUACAAACAUGAAGAGGAAGCUUGAUCAGAUGAAGGAAACUGAUGGUCAGGUUUUACUUGAUCAUCAGAGAUUUGUGGGUUUGUUCCAAAGGCAUUUAUUGCCUUCGUCUUCUGGGGCUGUACCACGUAAUGAAGCUCCAAAUGAUCAACCUCUGAUGCCUCCUCCUUCUAGGGUUCUGUCCAGUACUGAGGCUCCAAAUGAUCCCCCUCUGAUGCCUUCUCUUUCUGGGGCUCUACCGACUGCUGAGACUUCUCCUAAGCAACCUUUGUGAAGGCUCCCUCUUGUGUGUUUAUUUUGACUCAUGUAUAUGUACAUAUUUGUAGCUUAUCGGGGAUAUCAAUAAAUAAGCUUUCCUUCAUUUCAACGUAUUGUGUUAAAUACACCAAAUCCUUCUUCGCUAAGUUCUUUGAAUUUUCUUUUGUUGAAGCUUGUAUGUUGAAGCUUGUAUGAUUCAAGGCCCAAAGACCAUUGAAAAUAUUUUGAAACUUAGAGCAUGUCCAGCAGAUUCCCCAUCUACAUCUACUCACCUAUUUUGGAGAAAAUGAAGAGAAACCUCCUUAGUACUUUUUCCAACAUCAUUCGUUCAUGGUUGGAAGGAAAGAUCAGCAUCAAUUAUCCUGGUGAGUGUCGUCUUUUUGUUCUUUCUUGUUGAAUUUUUGAUGUGUAUUUCAUAUCAAAACAAUUACAAGAUGAAACAUUAUAUAGGAAAAGAAAGAGAACAUAAGCCUAAACUUGCCUAACUUGCCUAACUUGCCUAAUUUCCUAACUUGCCUAACUUGCCUAAUUUACACAAAGAAGGUUGACUAGCCUAACUUCACUAGUCAUCCAACAUGUUUAUUUCAUGCAUGCAUUUUAACAAAAGAUAUGACUUGCAUGAAUUCCAACAUUUCUUGUUAUAUCUUUCUCAAUAUAAACUCAUGGGUUUGUUGGAUUUGUUGCUCUUUGUUUAUUGCUUUGAUUUGUUAAUUGAAUGAAUAUAUUAAACAAAAGGAGGGGAAAGCUCUACGAACUCGUGUAGUUGAUGCAUGUAGUACUCAGUACUACUCUUUCAGACAAUAAUCCUAACUUUUAAUCCCACUUAACGUAAUACAAUUUGGUGUCUGUAGUAUGUUUGGUGGUCUAGAUCACUCAUUUGAGAUAUACAUGUGAACCAGAAAGCUGUUUAACUUGGAAAAAGGCGAAAUUUAGCAUGCCCAUGAACUUUUAAAAUGUUGGGAGCAGCUCAGGUUUGAGUCCCAGCAAAGGAAUGCUUUUCUUAAUUUUUGCACGACUUACAGCUGGUGCGAGGGACCUCUGCGCGUUAACUAUGUGUCAGUCUGGGUCCAUUUAUUCCCUAGCCAUCAGUGUGCUGUCUAACUUUGUCUUUUAUAUUCACAAAAAAGCAUUGGCAGUCUUGACAGUGUCGAAACUGUUUACCGUGUUCAAACCGUGUGCAGGGCGUGUCAGCAUGUCAGAGUGUCUGACACUUUGAGGUUUGGGAGUGUCCGUGCAACCUAGGCUUCAAGGACGAGAUGGACAAGGUGGAGAAGUGGAGAAGAGCGCUUACUGAUGUUGCAAAUCUGGGAGGGAUGGUUCUAGAAGAUCGGUAAUUUCGUAAAACAUUUUCUUUAAUUUGAAAGUAUUAUCUAUAUAUGACCUUUUAGAGGUCGCACUUGGUGCGAUGGCAAGUGCCUUCGCCUAUGAGCGGUAGGUCUCAGGUUUGAGACUUGGGAGAGCAGCCUCUCCAUAAAUGGGGUAAGGCUAGCCGACAUUCACCUCUCCCAGACCCUGCGUAAAGCGGGAGCCUUGUGCACUGGGUACGACCUUUUUUUAUCUAUAUAUGACCUUUUAUAACUUGUUUAUUAGGCACAUUAUUGUUAGCUUAUUGGAGACUAAGGCCACCCCUCUUUCUUUUAGGGUAGAUAAUAUCGUUUGUUGACAAAAAAAAAAAAAAAAAAACUUGUUUAUUAGGUUGAUGAUAGUAAAGCCAUAUGGAGUUGACGGAUUUUGGGUUUAUAACUUUAUACUAUCUUUCAUGUACCUGUGCAGCAAUAUUUUUUAGAAGAUUCAAAUUUUCAAGUCAAUUUUUCAAUGUCUUAUAUAUAAUCUACCUGCAUUACUCAUGUCAAUCAUCAAUUACUCUUUUCUUUAGAUAAAAAUUACAUAGUCUUCAUAUGAUUUGAUGUCUAAUGACCAUAUGUUGUAGGGUAUGAGUGGCAGUUUAUCCAAGAUAUUGUUCAAGAGGUUGGAAGUAAGCUGGAUCGCGUGGCAGUAAAUGUUGCUCCCUAUGCUGUUGGAAUCGAUAAUUGUGUGCACGGAAUCAACAGAUGGUUAAAAGAUGAUUCGGGUGAUGCUGGUGCAGCGGUUAUCUAUGGGAUGGGUGGAAUUGGCAAAACCACCAUUGCCAAAGCUGCUAAUAAGACGAACCUUGCAAAAUUUUAAGGAAACGACAGCUUUCUUGCAGAUAUUGGCUUGCAAAUAAAUCUUCUUUCCGAUAUCCAAAGGGUGAAAGUAAAGAAAAUAAGCAAACAUGAAGGACUGAUCAAGAUUAAGCAUGCUGUAGGUUGCAAUAGAGUUCUUAUAGUUCUUGAUGAUGUGAACCAUUUGGACCAAUUCAAUGCAAUUCUUGGAAUGCGAUAGUGUUUUCACCCGGGAAGUAAAAGUUACCGUAACAACUAGACAUAAAAGGCUCAUGAUAUUUAUCCAGUAUUUGAGAUUAAAGAACUGAGUGAAUAUGAAAACACUGAAGCUUUUCAAGCGACAUGCCUUCGGGCAAGCCAAUCCCAUUGAAAGUUACUUGGAGUCAUGAACCUCGACCAAAUUGAAGCAAUCUUUGAGAAUCAAUUGCUAAUGGUUUGGGACUUCUGACAAGUUGGGGGUUGUCAUAAGGCCAUGUGAGUGACUGAGAUUAACGGUUCAGUCUUGGAAGGGAACCAGGGUAUGUUCUAAUCUCUCUCUCUCUCUCUCUCAAAAUACACACAAUCAAAAAUAAAUUUCAGUGAAAUUAAACUGUGUAUUCAUAGCAACUAAUGACUUCUCUUUGACACAGUUUCUUAGAAGAUUGAAAAUUCUAAAUCUUAGUCAUUCGCAUGGCCUUAGGACAACAUCUGACUUGUCCGGACUCCCUAAAGGAUUGCAUUAAUUUGAUUGAUGUUGAUGAAUCCAUUGGAAACUUGGGGAAACUUAUUUUCUUGAAUCUAAAAGACUGCAAAAGUCUUAUGAAGCUUCCAAAAAGAAUGAACAUGUUGAGGUCUCUUGAGGAAUUUAUUCUUACUGGUUGCUCAAAGCUUGUUCUUCAUGACAGUGCCACGGUUAUUCAUUUACACUCUACAUCUAGGGAUAUGAAUAAACUUAGACUGUUAUCAAUUAUAUCAUCGACACGAGAAAUUUUUCCAAAUGACCGGUACAACUGUUGAGUUGGAGUUCCCCUCCAAUUACAUGAUGCCACAUAUCCUACUACAGCUGCAUAGAUUAGUUUUGUUUAAUAAAAAAAAAAAAGAAAAAGAAAAAACUUGUAGAAGGUGUAAAGUCACCCUCCCAGCGGCCGAUCCCCACCAAGGCGACUCACUUCCGAUUGACGACGACGAAGAAGAUUUCAGCUUCCUCGAGGACCCCACCGACCACAGCGCCGCCGCCCCGCACCAUUCAGAUUCGGACAAUUACGACGAUUUCGAGAACUUCUCCGAUGUCGACGAGGACGCUUUCAGGAGAUGAUGGCAGGCUUGGUAGCCCCAAGACUCCUAACUGGGUUUAUGGCAUUUUCAGUGAUGGGGAUGGGGUGGUGGCCAUUUUCGGUGAUGGGUUGAUGCAAUUUUGGGUUUUUGAUCAAAACCCAUCAAAAUUCACCACCACUUAGUCAAAAAUCCAAAUCAAACCCCAACAAAAACAAUCAAAUUCACAAGUUUUAUCUGAGAAAGAAAAAAAAACAUGAACAGAUUAUGGAAAAGGGUGGAAUGGAUGCGGGUGGGGCGUAAUAGAAUGGAAAAGAGAGGAAUCUGUGUUCUUCAUUUAAUUAAUUUAAAUUCUAUUCUUAAAAUAAAUAUUAUUUGUCAUUAUAAAAGAUGAUGUCAACCUAGAUGUCAGAUGUUAAUAGGUGGAACACCAGGUCAGCAAAUGUACCCGUCACGUGGAAAAUUUUCUCCAUGGACACCAAUCAGGUGUUUGGUGGAUGUGGGCAUGGCCAGGAAAGACUCAUCAAUCAACGAGUUUCUCUCUGGCAAGUGUACGCCCUUUUUUGGGGAAGCUUAAGUUUGUCUUACUGCAACAUGUCAGGUUCCCAAUAAUCUGUGUACACUAUCUUCGUUGAAGCAUUUGAAUCUAAUUGGUAAUCCAAUUUUGUGCCUACCACAAAAAAUGAAGAGUCUUAUUAUGCUUGAGACUCUUUUGUUAGAUAAUUGCACGAACCUCGAAAUUCUUCCAGAGCUCCCACCAAGGUUGAAGAGGUUAGAAGCAAAAUAUUGUACUUCAUUGAAAAGAUUAAGAAAUUUACCAAACUUAUUCAGAUCAUUGGAAUCACUUUUUUGGGGUUAUGAGCAUUUAGUUGAAGUUGAAAGCUUGUUGAAUAUAAAACCGUUGAGAAAUGCUGACAUAGAAAUGACAAGAUAUAUGGGCCUGUGCAGUUUGAAAUCCAUAUCAAGCACUGGUGUCGAAAGAUCUCCAUCUAGCCAAAAUAAUGUUGUUGCUGGAGAUGUGUCAAUGUCAGCAUAAGAGUACCAAAUGUGGACAGGAAAAUACUUUCUCAGUAAUCAUAGGCACCGUACUCAUCAGGCUCAAUGGUUCACAACUUAUUCAAGGCCCAAGGACCAUUGGAAAAUAUUGCGAGAGGAUGUCCAGCAGAUUCCCCAUCUGCUUCUCGUAAUCUGUUUUGGCGAAAAUGAAGAGAAACAUCCUCAGUUCUUUGUCCAACAUCAGUCAUUUCAUUUAUGGUUGGAAAGAAAGACCAGCAUCAUUUUCCUUGGUGAGUAUCGUCGUUUUGUUCUUUCUUGUUCUCGUUCUGAGUAUAUACUCAUGGCUUUGUUGGAUUUGUUGCGCUUUUUGCUUAUUGUCAUAAAGAGCAAUCAAGGAAAAAAAACCGGAACAGUCUGCAUGAGUUUGUUGGAAAUUAUAUAUUAUAGUAUAAAAUAUUGUAAUAUAUAAUUUUAAUAAUUGAAUGAAAAAAUAGUGUUAACCAUAUUUCUUAGAAAUGUUAUGUUAUUUAGGUGCAUUCCCUUGUUAAAUAAUGUAUACUUAUAGAUGAAAAGUUACAUCUCCUAACAAGAAGUACUUGGGUUCUAUUUAAACUCAUGAAACCAUUAUCAUUAAAUAUAGAAAAUUAGAGUUAAUUUUUACUCUUGAGAAAUAAGGUUUUCUCACUUUGUUUCUCUCAUGGUUCGUGUGUCAAAUUCCAAGUCAUGUCUUGAAAGUACGGAAUAUAUAAAGUUCGUCAGAGUUUGAAGAUUGAAGUGCUUUGACUUCGGAUUAUGGAUUUUUGAAUCUUGAGAGAUGGACACCUACUGAACUACAAGCACACGAGUAUGGGCGAAAUUCUAUCUUUAGGACAUUACAUUUAUGCAAGCCUCAAUCUCCAAGUUUGUCAGUUUUUCUAACUUUAUCUCUAGUUGUUUAUAUUAAUCUCCAAUUGGACCUGUUUCAAAAAUAGGUUAAAAAAUUAGACCUAUUUCAAAUUAUCCCUUAUUAUUAUUACAUUUCUUAUGUUAUUUUCAUAUUUUCUAAUCUUCAACAGAGUUUGCAUAUGAAGUUUUCAACCCCCUAUAGAGCAAAACCAACUUGAGCGUAACAGCAGUGGGGCAACAUAUGUUUCUGAAAAUCCUACAGUUAGUUUCCCUCCAAAACUCCUUACAAACGAAUCUUGAGCACCUGCAUUGCCUAAUAAUUGUUUUAACUACCAUGUUAACAGAAGUAAUAACUGUAAACGGACUAUAACAGUUGAGAAAUAUUUAAGUACCAAAAAGAGUCAGCUAUAUCAGAAUAAUUAUACUAGAGUUGAGUCGUUUAACUUCUCAUCUGUUAUGGCUUAGUCCUUUUAUGGCGGACAUUAACUCCGUUUUUCUAUAUUUUCAGAGAAAGUUCGUAAAAUUUAAAUCCUAUUGUUCUUUUUUGGCCUUUUUCUAAUAUUUUUCUGCCUUUUUCUACUGUAGUACUACUCCAGACAAUAAUCCUAGUGGCCCAAAAUUAUAUCCUAACUUUAAAUCCCAAUUAAGGUGAUAUAAUUGGUUUUUUAUGUUUAUGCUCGCUAGAAACCUCAUUGAUCACUCAUUGGUGCCUGUAGUAUUUGUGGUGUUCUAGAUCACUCAUUUGAGCAAUACAUGCGAACCAAAAUGUGGGUAGCAGCUCAGGUUCAUGCUUUCUUAAUUUUUGCACGACUAGCAGCUGGUGCAAGGGACCUCCUUGUGUUAACUACGUGCCAGUCUGGGUCCAUUUACUGCACGUUAACUUGGGAAUGACCUAACGAGGACCUGAGAUACUCAAGAACCCGUACCACACUUUUUCUUUUUCUCUCUUUUUCCUUUUUGUUUUAGGAUUGGUUUGGUAUUGCUGUGUUUUGAAAAAAAAUUAUUGUGAAAAUAAGCGGGUGUGCUGUAAGAAUAAGCGGCUGUGAAAUAAAUCAGCAGGGUGUUUGGUAAACUUUUUUGUAAAAAUACUUUUGGAAAAAAAAGCAGUCUAAUAGUGGGUCUUUUCAUUAAAGAAGCAUUGUAGCUCCGUGUGUUUUAAAAAAAAGCCAAUUUUCCAAAACUGCAAAUAGCAGCUUCAGCUUUUUCCUUUGAUUUCAGCUUAUUCUCACAGCAGCUUCCAAAAUAAGCUUUUUUUUUUCAGUUUACCAAACACCUAAAACCCUCACAGUUUUUUUUCAUGGGUGUUUUUUUUUUAAGCACCUCACUCCCAAACUAGGUCUUAGUCAUAUCUUUUUCUUUCCGUGCGGACCUCAUCGAAAUCAAACAAAAAAAGGAAAAAUUAAACUCAUCAUUAACUUCCGGAUGAAACUUUAAACCAAGUGGUGUGAGAUUUUUCCAUGAUUCAGGUGGGGGGAGGUGGGCUGGGGUCAGUUCUCAUUAUUUACUCACCCCUACACAUCUGUGCAUCCACCCCAAUUUAGAUGUUUUGGGACCUUGGACUAACAAUAUUUUUUAAGAGGUGUGAUAUCCACACACCUCAUUUUACUUCUCACGCAUCCUUGAUAAUUUCUGUCCGUUGAUCUUCUUCAAUUCAUCCGAUCUGACGGCCGAAAAUUAUAAAGGUGUGUGAGAAGUAAAAUGGGGUGUGUGAAUAUCAUACCUCUUUUUCAAAUACUAGAGAUGAGAUUGGAGAGAGAUGUGAGGAGGGAGGAGGAGCGAGAGAGAAUAGUACGGUUACAUUUUAGAAUUUUUAUGACAUAAAAUAUUAAUAAUGAUAAAAGUUAACUAGAGUUAUGUGAGAGGACAUAUAUCAAGCUAAAAGUGUGUGGAUAGCAUACAUCAGGAUAAGUUCAAUGCAUUUUUACUCACUGCUCUCAAGUGAUGGUGAUGCUCACAAUAUUUUUAUUACAGUUCGAUAAGUUUAAUUUUUAAAAUUUAUGUCUUCCACAGCAAAACAGAUUACAAAUAAUAAACAUACGAACAAACGGAUUACAAAUUAUUGAAUAUAUUUGACUAACAAAACAACAAAGAAACAGGAUUGUCGAGACGACUACACUCAACUACAUAGCAACUUAUUAUCCAUCUAAACAAACUACAUUUGUGGGGAGCAAAAUCUAAGAAAUCCUAAUUCAAAUGGGAUAGACCUAAAUCAUAAACUAAUAAGCAAAACCAAAUAAUGAAAUAACUAAUUUUUCAACACUCGUCAAAUUCAAGAGGGUACGUGACAUGAGUUUACCAACAAAUAAAUUUUAAUUUAGACAUAAUGAUGUUGAGAGUAUAAAAAGAAAGUAAAUAAGUACUCACCACAAAUAAGAUUUUCAUAUUUCAAUUCCAACAAUGAACAAACAAAAACAACACUUUCACUCGAAUAUUCACAGAUCCCAAACAAGCCAAUAACUCGCAUCGGCCUCAAGGACUUCAUAAAACAAACCGCCCAUUUCAUUUUUCCCUUUGCCCGUGUGGGCCAAAACCUCAACCAAUUUCCAAUUAUUUCUUUUCCGUGUGGACCUCAAACAUACCACCACUUUUUCUUCUUUUUCUUUUUCUAUCUUUUUUCCUUUUCUUUUUCCCCAUCUUUUACUCACCCUCGUUUACCAAAAAGAAAAAGCAAAGAGAAAACAAAAGAUUCGUCCUUCUUCUUCAGCUGCUCUGGUAGCAUCUCCCACCUCCUCUUCUUCAUCAACUAUUAAGACCGACUCCCAUUCAGAUCCUUGAAAAUUUGGGCAUGGAACUAUAGUUAUCUACUUAAGGUUGCGAGUGAGCAAAAUUUGAUUUGUGAAAUCGUCCAUUUCAAAGUGUCUUUUUGAAGAAACUAGUUGGGACUUUCAUCCAACAGCUUGCCGGCAGAAAGAAAAUUCGCAGCUUUCGGUAUCUUACAAUACACAACUCUGGUGUGUGCGAGGUACCUUCAAGCUCCCCUCUUGUGAAAACAUACAUCUGCUUUAGCUUUCAAUUGAAAUCUUCAUGGCCGAUGAGUCAAAUGCAUUGACUUUGGAUCCUCUUGCUUUCUUAUCUUUAUUUUUCUUUUUAAUAUUUUCCUAUUAAAACUAAGAUCUAAAGUCUUUAAAUUCAUGGAAAUUAUUUUGUAAGACUUCAAUAUUUUUUUUUUUUUUUCAGAAACGUGAACUAAAUCCAUUUCAUGAAGAAAGAUCUAGUCCUUUUCGUUUUUUUCUUCUUAAAAUAAAUAUGAGUCAUUAUUAUUAAUAAUUAAUUUUUUUUAAAUUGGUAGAAUAUAUUUUUGCAUAAAGUUUUAAUAAGAAUUUCUUUUAGGAUUACACAUAAUGUGUCGUUAGCUUUUUACAUACCAAAUUUAUGAUAAUAUUUAUGUACGGAUAGUUUUCUAUGUAUUUAAAUAAUAAUUACAUAACAUACCAAAACAAAUUUGUACACAAAUUUGAAUUACAUAGCAUGCCAAUAACGUACCAAAUUAUUGACACGUUACAUUUAGUAAAUAAAAGCAUUGAUAUAUAUAUAUAUAUAUAUAUAUGUAAUAUCGUUUAGAAUUUUAAAGUACGUUGGUACUUUUAAAAUAUCACGUUUGAUUUUUUUUUGUUUUUUGCAACCACAGUUUAACUUUAUUUUAUUUUAUAAACAAUUCAACUUUUAUUGUUUUUAUAGAACUUUUAUUGUUUUUUAUUCUUUUAAAAUAUAUUGAAAUAAAAAGAUAUAAAUUAACAAUAUAUUGAAAAAAAAUUAGAUAUUUGGUCUAAGAAAUUAAAAAACCGCGCAUCUAGAUCAAAAAGAUAUAAAUUAACAUUAUUUGUUUGUUUUUUAUUCUUACUAGACAACAAUUUAUCUUUUUUUUUGGCCUUCUGAGUGCUACUCGAGACUCCAACUUAUUAGAUUUUCCAUCAAUUUUUGAGAUCCCAAAUGGCGAGCCAAUGUUUCAACGCGUAUUCUAUUCACAUUUUACAACUAAUAAGAAUUUGCCUUGUGACUUGGUAACCAAUAACUGGUGUCUCUUGUACUAUUAUUAUGUUUAUCAUAUGAUUCAUAUGAUGCAUCUCAGUGUAAAAUCCGAUAUGUUUGGUAGCUGGAGAAUAUAUUCUCAAUUUGCAUUCCAAUUUGUAUAUAAUAACUCUUCUUCAUGCAUUCACUGCUACAGAUAGACUCUAUUCAAUAGAUGCAAUGAGCACCGAGCAGCAGAAUCCUUCUUCGUCUUCUAACCGGUGCACAUAUGAUGCAUUCUUGAGUUUCAGAGGCGCAGAUACACGCAAGGGCUUUACAGAUCACCUCUACAAUGCUUUGAAGUUAGCAGGAAUCCACACUUUUAGGGAUGAUGAUGAAAUUGAGAGAGGAGAAAACAUUGCACAGGAGCUACAGACAGCAAUACAAGAGUCACAAGUAUCAAUCAUUGUUUUCUCCAAGGACUACGCCUCUUCCACGUGGUGCCUGAAUGAACUUGCUAUCAUCAUGGAACGUAAAAGAACAGAUGGACACAUGGUUAUCCCAGUUUUCUAUUAUGUGGAACCAUCAGAUGUCAGGAAGCAGACGGGCAGUUUUGCAGAAUCAUUUACUAGACAUCAAGAACAAUUCAAGGACGAGAUAGACAAGGUGGAGGAGUGGAGGCGAGCUCUUAGAGAUGUUGCAGACUUGGGAGGGAUGGUUUUAAAAGACCGGUAAUUUUUCAUUCUCUCCUAUAUUCAGUCAAGUAGAUCAGAUGCUAGUCUCAAGCUUGUGAAAAUUUUAGUUUUUUUUUUUUUGAAAAAAUAAAUAAAUAACUUGCUUGUGUCUUUUCUUUUGGUCUGAAAAUAAAGAAAUUACUGUGCCUCAUAUAUUUUGAUAUCAAUAACAUAUAGGUAUGAGUGGCAGUUUAUCCAAGAAAUUGUUGAAGUGAUUGGAAAUGAACUGGACUACAUGACGAAUAGGAGAUUAAGAGUUGAUCCCCAUGUGAUUGGACGAGGUUACUAUGUGGAAAGCCUAAACAUGUGGCUGGAAGAUGGAUCAAAUGAUGUUGGAGUAGCUGUCAUCCAUGGAAUGGGUGGAAUAGGCAAGACCACCAUUGCUAAAAUUGCUUAUAACCAGAACUUCAAUAAAUUUCAAGCUAGCAGCUUUCUUUCAGAUAUUAGGGAAACUUCCAAACAAGCCAAUGGUUUUGUUCACUUGCAAAUGAAGCUUCUUUCAGAUAUCCAAAGGGGGAAAAUGGAAAAAAUAUACAGCCUUGAUGAAGGUAUAGUAAAGAUCAAACGGGUUGUACGUUGCAAAAGAGUUCUUAUUGUUCUUGAUGAUGUGGAGAACUUGGAACAGUUCACUGCAAUUCUUGGAAUGCGAGACUGGUUCCAUCCUGGAAGUAAAAUUAUCAUAACAACUAGACAUGAGUUAAAGGCUCAUGAAGUUUGUGUAAGGUUUAAGGUUGAAGGAUUACAUGCGCAUCAAUCUCUUACACUUUUCAGUUGGCAUGCCUUCGGACAAUCCCAUCCUCAGGAAGGUUACAUGGAGCAUUCAAGACACCUAGUAAAAUGUUGUGGAGGGGUUCCAUUAGCUCUUCAAGUUCUGGGAUCUUCUCUAUUUGGAAAAACAGCAAAUGUAUGGGAAAAUGUAGUACGCAAGUUAAAGGAAAAUGCAGUACCCACCUUAGACGUGAUUACUGAGGGAAAAAUUCAAAAGAUUCUUUGCAUAAGUUUUGAUUCUUUACAAGAUCAUGAUAAAUGUUUAUUCCUCCAUAUAGCCUGUUUCUUCAUAGGAAAAGACAAGGAUUUUGCAACUACAAUCCUUGAUGAAUGUGAUUUUGCGACAGAAGUUGGACUUCAACACCUAGUUGAUAGAUGCCUUGUGGAAAUUAAUGCCCGCAACAAGUUAACCAUGCAUCAAUUGCUUGAAAACAUGGGAAGGGCAAUAAUUCACAAUGAAUCACCUGAGGACCCUGGAAAACGCACUAGACUGUGGCAUAAAAAAGAAGCAAGUGACGUUUUGAGAAAUUUAACGGUAAGAAACAUGAUCUUUAACUGUAUUUAUUUGCAUUGGUGUUCUACAUGUGACUAGUAACUUAUCCAAUGCUCUUAUUUGGUGGCAGGGUAAGAGAAGUAUUAAGGGCCUCAUGCUCCACUGUCCCUCAACAUUUGAAACAAAGGCAUUUACAAAGAUGCUCAAUCUUGAACUACUUCUGCUUGAUAAUGUAAAGUUGAGUGGAAGCUAUGAAGAUUUUCCAAAAAAAUUGAUAUGGCUGUCUUGGCGAGGAUUCUCUUUAAAAUCAAUACCAGCCAAUUUUUGUAUGGAAAAUCUAGUUGUUCUCGACUUACGGAAGAGCAGUCUGCAACAUGUUUGGAACGGAACCAAGGUAUCUUCUAAUCUCUCUCGCUCUCUCUCUCUCUCAAUACACACAACAAAAAUAAAUUUCAGUGAAAGUAAACUGUGUAUUCAUAGCAACUAAUGACUUCUACUUGAUACAGAAUCUUACAAGAUUGAAAAUUCUUAAUCUCAGUCAUUCACAUGGCCUUAGGACAACAUCUGACUUGUCCGGACUCCCUAACCUUGAGAAACUAAUUCUCAAGGAUUGCAUUAAUUUGGUUGAUGUUGAUGAAUCCAUUGGAAACUUGGGGAAACUUGUUUUCUUGAAUCUAAAAGACUGCAAAAGUCUUAUGAAGCUUCCAAAAAGAAUGAAAAUGUUGAGGUCUCUUGAGGAACUUAUUCUUACUGGUUGCUCAAAGCUUGGUCCUCAUGACAGUGCCACGGUUAUUGAUUUACUCGCUACAUCUAGGGAUAUGAAUAAACUUAGACUGUUAUCAACUAUAUCAUGGACACCUAUCAGGUAUUGGUGGAUGUGGGCAUGGCCGAGAAAGACUCUUCAAUCAACCAGUUUCUCACUGGCAAGUUUGCCACGUUGUUUGGGAAGCUUAAGUCUGUCUUACUGCAACGUGUCAGAGGUUCCCAAUGAUCUGUGUACACUAUCUUUGUUGAAGCAUUUGAAUCUAACUGGUAACCCAAUUUUGCCUACCACAAAAAAUGAAGAGUCUUAUUAUGCUCGAGACUCUUUUGUUAGAUAAUUGCACAAACCUCGAAAUUCUUCCAGAGCUCCCACCAAGGUUGAAGAGGUUAGAAGCAAAGUAUUGUACUUCAUUGAAAAGAUUAACAAAUUUACCAAACUUGUUCAGAUCAUUGGAAUCACUUUUUUGGGGUUGUGAGCAUUUAGUUGAAGUUGAAAGCUUGUUGAAUAUAAAACCGGUGAGAAGCGCUGACAUAGAAAUGACAAGAUAUAUGGGCCUGUUCAAUUUGAAAUCCAUAGCAAGCACUGAUGUCGAAAUGAUGAACUACUUGACCGGUACAAGCAGGAAGGCUCCUGUCCAGGUCUUUCUCUGUCUCCUCUCUCAUGUAUAGUUGUUCUAAUUAUUAUAUCUAUGAACUAAUUUGGCCCAACUGUUUGAAUAGUUAAAUUUGAAUUGUAGAUUCUUGAUGAAACAGGUACUCUAUGAAUGUGGCAUAUAUAGCAUUUUCUUUCAUGGAAGCAAGAUUCCAGAUGGAUUUGGCUUCACAAUAAUAUAUAGAUCUGUGCUGUCAGUUAUUGUACCUUCACAUCCCUUUCUAAAAAUCCGAGGCUUGAAUUCAUGUGUGUUAUAUGCAAGAGAACCAGGCUUGGAAUAUCGUCUUACUGUUCAGCAUUUGAUUAAAGUCAGUAAUCAGACCAAGGGUCUUAUGUGGACCUAUUCCCCACUCACAGUAGGUUUGCCUACUGAGAAGGAAGAUAUGUUAUGGCUAAGCCAUUUUCGAUUUGCAAACAACGAAUUGGAGUAUGGGGACGAAUUACGUGUUUCGGUUGAGAUGCAUGAAUUUGUCCGUGUAAAGGAAUUCGGAAUUCAGCUUGUGUACGAGCCGGAAAGACCUCCUUCUAGCCAGAAUAAUGUUGUUGCUGGAGAUGUGUCACUGUCAGCAUCAGAGUACCAAAUGUGGACAGGAAAAUACUUUCUCAGUAAUCAUGGGCACUGUACUCAUCAAGCUCAAUUCCGAAGGAGACAGGAGAAUCCAGCACAUAUUGAGUUUUCAUUUGGGCCAGAGCUUCUAUUUCAUAAAUUAUUCAAGGCCCGAGGACCAUUCGAAACUGUUGUGAAACUUAGAGCAUAUCCAGCAGAUUCCCCAUCUGCUUCUCCUUACCCAUUUUGGCUAAAAUAAAGAGAAACCUCCUCAGUUCUUUAUCCAGCAUCAUUCAUUUAUGGUUGGAAAGAAACAUCAGCAUCAGUUUUCUUGGUGAGUAUCGUCCCUUUAUUCUUUCUUGUUAUCUCUUUCUGAAUAUAUACUCAUGGCUUUGUUGGAUUUGUUGCUCUUUGCUUAUUGUCUUUGAUUUGUUAAUUGAAUGAAUAUAUUAAACAAAAAGCGGGGAAAGCUCUAUGAACUCAGAACAACAAGGUCAUAAGACCAAUCAAGGAAACAAAACCGGAACAGUCCUCAUGAGUUAGCAGAUGAGGUUUGAAAACCCCUAUAGAGCAAAACCAACUUCAGCGUAACAGCAGUGGGACAACAUGUAUUUCUGAAAAUCCUGCAAUUAGUUUCCCUCCAAAGCCUACUCCUUACAAACGAAUCUUGAAUUCCUGCGACGUGGUAUUUGGGGUAACUUCUAUUUGGACACAUUUAUAUGAGCAAACUUUUCUUAUUCUAUUAUUAUGCAUUCGGAUUAGAAAGCGCGCGAUCAAUAAGAUAUUGAAAACAUGUAUUUCCUGAUACAUUAUAUAAAAUUAAUAAUUCGCUAAAUUCAUAAGAUAAUACAUUAUAUAAAAUUCAUAUAGAUUCCACAUAAUAUGUAAAUUAAUAAUUUCCUGAUACAUGUGCUUAUGAUUCGACAAUGAGGCCUUCCUAAAAUAUGACUCAAUCAUUGUUUGUUUUUUCUUUUCUUGAAAUUGAUACCUUGGAUCUUAUAUUUUUCUUAACAUGAUAAGAAGUUAUAAUGUGGUUUUUUCAUACUUCAACAAAAAAUUAUUCAAUGUCAUCGCCGCUUUGAGAACUUCUUUUCGGGAAACGGGCUCCAUAGUAGAACCAUGUACAAUCUAUUUUUAGAAAAUAAGUAGAUUCAAAAUUUUACUUGGUUAAACAAUAAAAUCGUUAGUUCGUAAAAUGAGAAACUAAAUUAAUAACAUAUUAAUUUAUCAAUUAUUUAAUAUUUUGCUAAAAAAUUUGGUCUCAAGGUUAUUAAUUUAUAGAGGUCUAAUGGAUUUAGAUAGAGGACACUAGGUAGGUUUCCCUUUAAAGAGUCUGAUAUGGUUGCCUUAAGUCUCACUUGCAUUUACUACGGUAUCCCCAAUCAAUCAUGCACUACCAUGCUUGGAUAAACUAUAGUAAUGUCCUUGCAUGGCAUGCAUGAUUGACUCGAGAUACCGUCAUAAUGUCAUCUUUGUUGUAGGUAAGUUUUUCUCCCCGAAAUAUAUGUUCACCAAGGAAUUUACAUGUGAAAUGAAACUCUAAGAAAAGAAAUUUAAAAAUGAGAAAGUGAUCCACCUAAUCAUGUGUGUCGGUAUGUAAUUGGGCCACGCAAGGAUCAAUGAACAAAAAAUUUAAAUGUCACAAUACAAGCUAUAGUAAUUUGUUAACUGCAUUUGAUUUCAUAUUGUUUUAAGUUACGAGCAGUGAAGACAGGGAAUAAAAAUGGAAUGAUAAUCUUUGUUAGAUCAUAUUCUAAAACAAAUUUCCAACACUCUGAAUCUUGCAGCUUUUGAGCUGCUCUGUGUUUGAGCAAUUAGUAGAGACAAAAUUGGAAGAGAUCAUCCUGUAAUAUCUAGUUAAACAAAUCAAGGGAAAACAAUUUUACGCCGCCCUUACCUAGUUUACAAAAUUUGUCAACCUCUUCUCUUACAAAAUUUGUAUAAGCCUAACCUGCGCGCGCUAUAAAGUCCUAAUUCUAAUCUUGGGACAAUGUAAAAGGAGUGCAGCGGGAAGAAAUAUCCAUGACAUCACAGACCACUCGGGCACAUGACUUUUUUGGAACUACAAGACAAUAAGAUGUAAAACAUUUCAGAGCUAUGUGGCAGGUAUUGCACAGAGGGGAAACAAAAGCACAAGGCUCUCUAAGCAAACAAUAACAGAGAAGAAUCGUCGUAUACACAAUUGUUUUCUACCAAUAGCGAAUGACAUAGCAGACAACUAGAAGAGAGUAAUGAUUCUCAAGAUAUAGCUUAUUUACUUAUCCCUUAAGAUUAUUCACAAGAGCAUUCGAUUUUUGUUAGAAACGCUAUAUGGAGAUUACAAUAAUCAUGACAUUAUUGUGCGCCAUUGUGCUGAUCGUUAUGUUCCUGACAGGAACUAAUUACCUCUCUUUGAAACGGUGUCUUCCAAGACAGAAAAUCCUUAAUCUCAGUCACUCACAUGGCGUGAUGACAACCCCUAACUUGUCACAAGUCCCUAACCUUGAACAAUUGAUUCUCAAAUAUUGCUUAAAUUAGGUCGAGGUGGAUGACUCCAUUGGAUACCUAGAGAAACUUGUUUUCCUGAAUCUAAGACUGCAAAAUGUGAGUGCUGGAGAUGUGUCAGCAUCAAAGUAUCAAAUAUGGAAAGGCAAAUGCUUUGUGUGUAAUCACAGUCUAGACCAUACUUAUCAUCCUCAGUUCAUAUUUCAGAAAGAACCAGAAGAACCUGGCUCAUCUUGAUUCUUCAUACGAUCCAGAGGGCUGUUAUUUUAAUAAUCAUUACUUACUUAAGCACAUAGAGUUUCCUCAGGAGGACGAUGAAUACUGUUGUGUUUUGCCACCCGAAAGGGUAAGAUUUUACAAGAGAAUAAAAGAUAAAGAAGGCGAUGAUUAUCGACUGCGUCUAUUCAAAAGAAGUGUAGAUUUGGGCACUAUCCAGUUGCGGUGCUAAUCAUCGGGCGUUGAAGAAAAGAUCAUGGUUUGUUUUCUUUUGUGAGUCUUAUUUUCUGUUUCUCUUUGUAUAGAAUAUACUAUAUAUGCAUUUUGUUUGAAUAAUUGAAUCUUCUUAACUCGAUCUUUUCAAUAUUUUGUACAAAGGAUGCAAGGGUUCAAAAACACUAGAUGUAGAUUUCAUAUCUGAGCUCCAUAUUGGUUCUUAUCUGAGCUCCUUCAGCGGAUUAACAAUGUGGUCAGCGAAUAAAGGAGUUUAAUCCAACUUAACAGUUAACAAUCAGACGGGCAGAUCUUCCCGUUGUUUAUUUUUCCGUUUCUUCUUAAUUUUUUGUUUUUGCUCCAAUCUUUCUUUAUUUUUUUCUUCUUAUGUUUUUGCUCUUUCUUUAUCACAUAACCGUAGCUACUUUCUGGUUAAAUUCUAUUUUUCUUAUUUCUUAAAAAUAAAUUAAAAGCUACUUAUUAUUAGGGUUUAGUAAUAUUCAUCUUUACUUAUGUUGAUGCACAAAACCGGAAGGUCUUGGAACAACGUAAAUCCGACCGUGAAUCAUGCAAACGCCCAAGAACACAAAGAUGUAUCGUGGUUCACCCCAAUGUUUGGGCUACGUCCACACUGAUGUUGAUUGUAUUCCUCUGUAAUUGUAUGUAUGGAUUACAAAGUGUUGUUGUGUUUGUGAGGGUAUUGCCCUCUGUUGGGUUCACAGAGGAAGAGAGUUGAGAGAGUUUCUAUGUAUGUAGGAGGGUUGCUCUGAAUAUGAGAGUCUCUGUUUGGGGAUGUGAGGCCUCAGGAUUGUGAGGGUGAGGAGGCCCUUUUAUAGACUAAGGGCUCCUCCCCUUUUACAUAAAUCAUAGGCUCAAUGUCUGGAAGCCCAAGUAACGAGGCCCAAUAUAAUAUGGUACCAACAGUAGUCCCCUAAGUCUUCAGUCAAGAGAGUCUUUUGGCUGGAGACUUCAAAUCCAAUUCAUGUACGGGCCGAAGUGGCUAGAUGUCUUGAACCAGUACUCAACCCAAGGCAAUGCUCAACAUAAAGCAAUACUCGGCUAGAGGUAUCACACGUUACGAGACUACUCGGUUGGAGGCGAUGCUCGUUGCGAGGCUGCUCGGCUAGAGGCUAUGCUCGCGGCAAGGCGUUUGCUCGGCUGGAGGCGAUGCUCGUUGCGAGGCGGCUCGGCUAAAGGCUAUGCUCGCUACGAAGUGGCUCGGCUCGUGGUAUUCCUCAUUGCAAGUAUCUACUUUAUGUCGACAUGCACUCAGUAUGAGUUGAUUCUCAACAUGACUCGAGUCCGCUUGUCGGGUUCGCAUAUUGGGUCUAUAUGUAGGAUCCGCAGAUCGGGUCCGCAAGUCGGGUCUUUGAGUUGGGGCCAUACGUAGGGUCAUCGAGUUGGGGCUAUCUGUAGGGUAAUCGAGUUAGGUCCAGGCACAUAGGUGUCCCAAUAAGCAAAUGUCAGAGCAAGUGGGUGUCCGGUCAGACAAGAGAUCACCAUGAGCACGUGGCUCAUCAAUCUAUAAGUUGGUAGACUUCUUUAAUCAGCAACAAUGUUGAUCAGUGGAUCUAGUUGCUUAAUAAUUUCUGACAAUAAAUGACAGUAUAAGUAUGACCGUAUAAUAAGUAAAUCAAAUUGACAAAGUUUGUCAAGGCAAAAUAUUGCAUUAUGUGCCUUCUGUGAAUAAAUGAUUUAUUCAGUUUGUGUGAUAAAUCAUAUGUUGUAUAAAUCAACAAUAUAUUAAGCAUAUAAUAUAUAUAUACCAACGGUAAUUUUUUAAAGUGGCAGGUAACAUAGGGAUAUUAAAGGAGAGCAUCUUAUCUUUUUAAGGGGUUGGUGGCUUUCUUUCAGGCAGAUGGCAGACAGUAAUUAUAGGAUUAAUAAUAGAAUGAUGGCAGAUGGCAGACGGAAUAAAAACUUAUCUUUAGACAAUGGAGUGGGCAUCUUCUUUGGUGGUCGACAAAAGUCAUCGGUCAUGAUAAAGUUCUUAUCUUCUCUGUUCGUCCAUCAUUGCUCUAGCAGUGGAACUGUGGCCAACAUCUUUGAAAUCAUUACUUGUGUCCUUUCCAAACCUCUCUCAUUCUCGUCGCUUCUUUUCGCCAGCGCUCUGUAAAGAAACAAGGCUCCCAGCACGGCGGUGAAGAUCCAUCCGAGCAAGUGCUGAUCCGCCAUUACAGGUGAAGGCUGCUUCCAUUUCAUGGAGGUUUGGUUUGCUUCCAUGGCCGCUUCAGACUCUUCUUUUUCUGCGGUGUUCUAUGGAUAACAUCAAAGUUGAAUGAAUGGAUACAUGUGGGCUUUUGAUUACUUGAUGAGUUUUUUUUUUUCUGAUAGAAUAAAAAAAAAACAAGCAGCCAACUUCCACCAAUCCCCUCGCUUAGCAACAGGUGCAUAUGUUAGUGGCAGAGUCGGAAAGAGUGACAAUUCUGGUGGCGGACUCGAAUCGGCGCUCCCGACGAAUAUCAUCCUCGAUUUCUUGCUGGGCCCUCCGACGCUGGUUGAAUUUCUCGGCGUUGGCGUUGUUCCACAACGCGAAUCGAACCUCCGUUGGCGGGUGGUUCUGAGCCGCGUUGUGGGUGGGGCUCAAGUUCAAUGGUGGCGUAAAAAUUAGACAAGAAAUGGGCAAAUUCAGCGCCAUUUCUUGCUGGGUUCCUCAAAUUGAAGCCGAAAGCUUCAAACUUUUAGCAGAUAUGAGUCCUUUUGCUGGGUUCUGAAUGCAUAUCAGUUAAACGACGUCGCAGCAGCUGACAGUAUAGGCCUUUCAAAGUGAGAGUUUUGCAGGGAAGAAUUGAGAGAGAGAAAGAGGUGGCUCCGUGGGUUUUCUGGGAAAGCUUUGGGUUCUUGGGUUUCUGCAGAUUCACGGUGGAGGUUGUCAAGUUUUCACAGUGGUGAGAUGGAAAAAUGAAAGAGAACUGACAUAGCUUUUCGUGUCGUUUCCCACAGACGGAGCCAAAUGUUGAUGCACAAAACCGGAAGGUCUUGGAACAACGUAAAUCCGAUCGUGAAUCAUGCAAACGCCCAAGAACACAAAGAUGUAUCAUGGUUCACCCUAAUGUUUGGGAUACGUUCACACUGAUCUUGAUUGUAUUCCUUUGUAACUGUAUGUAUGGAUUACAAAGUGUUGUUGUGUUUGUGAGGGUAUUGCCCUCUGUUGGGUUCACAGAGGAAGAAAGUUGAGAGAGUUUAUGUGUUUGUAGAAGGGUUGCUCUGAAUAUGAGACUCUCUGUUUGGGGACGUGAGGCCUCAAGAUUGUGAGGGUGAGGAUACCCUUUUAUAGACUAAGGGCUCAUCCCCUUUUACAUAAAUCACGGGCUCAAUGUCUGGAAGCCCAAGUAACGAGGCUCAUAUAAUAUGGUACCAACAACUUAUAAGUGAAAGAUGUCUUAUAUUCGAUUCUCAUCACUUAGCCCUCUCGCUUCUUAAUGUAGAUAAUAUCGUAUAUUCAAAACAAACAAAAAAGUAAAUUAAAACACUAAAAUUAAAUAAUAAAAAAAUAAAUAGAAACCCAACCCUCGUCAACUUCCUCACCCCGGUGUGAGAUUUGUCCAAAUGUUAGAUAAUUUGGGUUGGGUGAGUUGGGUUGGGGUCGCUUCUCAUCUAUUCAUUCACCCUUCACAUCUAUGCAUCCACCCCAAUUUAGAUGAUUUGGGAUCUUGGAUUAGCAAUAUUUUUCAAAUAACAGAGAGAGAGAGAGAGAGAGAGAGAGAGAGAGAGAGAGAGAGAGAGAGAGAGAGAGAGAGAGAGAGAGAGAGAGAGAGCGAGAGAGAAUGGGAUGGUUAGAUUUUAGAAUUGCUAUGACAUAAACAUUAAUAAUGAUAAAAAUUAAUUAGAGUUAUGUGAGAGGACAUAUGUCAAGCUGAAUUUAUGUUGGUAGAAUACACUAGGGGUUAAGUUUGGGCAAUUUUGCUCACCACCAUUUUAUUUAUCAUUGUUAAAUAAGUUUAAAUUUUGAAAUUUGUAUCUAUCCAUAAUAGAAUAUCAGGUACACAUAACAAACAUACGAACAAACAUAUUAUAAAUUACGAAUAUUAUUUGAUUAACGAAAAAACAAAGAAAUAGGAUUGCCAAGAUGGCUACACUUAAAGACUACAUUUUAAUCAACUUAUUAUCAUACUAAAUUAUAAGUUAUAUGUAUAGAGAACAAAACCUAAGAAACCCUAAUUUGAAUGAGCUAAGCCCAAAUCUUAAAUUAACAAGCAAACCCAAAUAAUUAAGUAACUAAUUUUCCAACACCCCCGUCAAACUCAUGGUGGUACACGACAUGAGUUUACCAACAAGAAAAUGUCAAUGUAGGCUUCACUAGGUGGACAAGCAGGCAAACAAGCUUUGCUAGGCUGGACUUGACUUGACUUGUGAAUGGGCAAACUGAUUAUGUUUCAGAAAUGCAUGAGGGUAUGGAAAGAAAGCAUAUGAGUGCUCCUCAUCACUAAACAAACGAGAUUUUCAUAUCCCAAUUGCAGCAAUGGACGGACAAAAAGAAUACUAUCACUCAAGUGAUCACAAGUCCAAACAGUCGCAAAAUUCCCAUACAGGCCAACAACUCGUGUGGGCCUCAAAGACUUCAAACAAAAUCAAACAGCCCAUCUCUUUUUGCCCUUUCCCCGUGUGGGCCGAAAUCUCAACUAAAUUCGUGGGCCUCAAACAUACCGCCACUUUUUCUCCUUUUUCUUUUCCUUUUUCCCUCUUUUUCUUUUUCUUUUUUACAGAUCUCUAUAAUUGUUGCCCCAACACGACAAUUUUGUUAAUUCUUAUUAAUGAAGAGGAUUUUUCAAUCUUUCUUUGUUUCGUGCAGAUUGAAUUUGCCUGUGUCUGAACCGAAUCAUUUCUUUUUUAAACAACUGGUGUCGGGGGAGGGGGCCUCUGCAGGCUUUUAUCAACUUUGAGUUACAAGUCCAUUGAAAAUUAAUAAUUGAUUUGUCUCUUUAAGGAAGAACGGCCAUAGAAAAUUAAUAACUGAAUUAUCUUUUAAUUUAAUUAUUAUAAUAACUGAUUUGUCUUUUUUUAUUUUUUUUAAAUGAUAUUGCAAGAGUAGAAUUUGAGCUAAGUCACACGUCAUAAUUUCACACCGAACGAAAAUCGAAUCUAAAACCUUCUUUUUUUAUAAGUGGAGAAAUUUAUGAUUGAAUCUUUAGAUUUUGCAUUAUAGUCGCUCUAUAGUGACUCUUUUGUGACUAUAAAAAAUGAUUACUCAAUUUUCGUGGAAAACGCGAAUUAUACACGUACGUACCUUGAGUACUUUUUGGCAAAGCCAUAUAUAAUUGUCACCCUCAUUUACCCAAAAAAUAAAGAAAAACAAAAGAAAAGAGAAAACAAAAGACUAGCCCUUCUUCUUGAGCUUCUCUGGUAGCAUGAUCAUCUCCCACAUCCUCUUCUUCAUCAACUCUUAAGACCGACGCCCAUUCAGAUCCUUGGAAGUUUGAGCAUGGUGGAGAGGAACUAUAGUUAUCAACUUGAGUUUGCGAGUUAGCGAAAUUCGAUUUGUGAAAUCGUCCAUUUCAAAGUGUCUUUUUGAAGAAACUAGUUGGGACUUUCAUCCAACAGCUUAUCGGCUGAAAGAAAACUCGCAGCUUUCGGCAUCUUACAAUACACAACUCUGGUGUGUGCGAGGUACCUUCAAGCUCCCCUCUUGUGAAAACAUACAUCUGCUUGUAUUAUUAGCUUUCAAUUGAAAUCUUCAUGGCCGAUGAAUCAAUGCAUUGGCUUUGGCUCCUCUUGCUUUCUUAUCUUUAUUUUUCUUUUUAAUAUUGUCCUAUGAAAUUUGUUUUGAGUCCCUAACUCACACUUAAAGCACCGCCGUUACACUGAAAAUUUUCUCUAAGCUAGUGGGUCAUUCUAUUUUUUUUAUGAAAAAAAAUCAUAAACUUAUCCAAUAAACUCCACAUAUCAUCCCUUAUUGACAUAGUUAGAUUCAAGUGCUACAUUUUAUAAUUACACAUUAGUUGGUUUUUAGUUUUUUAUUCAAGUUCUUUGAAUUUUGAUUAAACGCUUUAACUUUACAUGUGUUUUUUUCUUAAUUUUAACUCAAUAUGUUAUAUAAAUUUAAAGAAUAUAAAUAUGAGUCUCUAAAUUCAUGGAAAUUGUUUUGCAAGACUUUAAUUAUUUUUUUUUCAGAAACGUGAACUAAAUCCAUUCAUGAAAAAAGAUCCAGUCCUUUUCUUUUUUUUCUUCUCAAAAUAAAUAUGAGUCAUUAUUUUAAUAGUUAAUUUAUUAAAAAUUGAUAAAAUAUAUUUUUGUAUAAAGUUUUAAUAUGAAUUUCUUUUAGGGUUGUCAUUAGCUUUUUACGUACCAACGCCUUCAAACUUAAAGCCACAGCCCACUCCCAGUCCAAAUCCAUAAACCCAGCCACUUUAAUUGUUUUCAGAAGAGUGGCAGUUUCGUAAAUAAAGUGAAAUGCAGCAAAAGUCACUGUAGCUUAUGAAUAAUGCUAAGGAAAUUUUAUUUGAACACAUCUAACCUCUUUCUAUACCAAACUUACUCUCUUCACCCAUAUUGUUUUUUAUUAAAGAAUUAAUAUCUCUUUAAACCCAAAUUUAUUACCUAAACUACCCUUUCAAACCCAAUUCAAAAUGUAAAUUAUCUUUUCACCAAUUUUCUUUAUAAAAUAACAUCUCUAAUUGAAUGUUGUUUUUUCUUCAAAGAGGCAUCCUUUGCCCCUAUAAUUGCAUUUGCCGUAUAGGACUAGCAUUUCCAUGGCUGUUUUUUUUUUCCUUCUGCUACCACAACACAUUCAUGGACUUGGGAUCCAAGAGAUCAUUCCAUAGACUUGAAUUUGCCAAGAGAAUGCUAUGCAACCUUCAGUUCAGUCAUUUUUAAAUCGAGCAUUUUCAUGUACUUUUUAAGAAACUUUGAAGUGACAUAGGGAUGGGUGUUUUGCUGCUAUGUUAAUAAACAAAUAAACAAAUUGGAGCUAUUUUGAAUAAAAAAAUGUGCAAGACAUGCCACCGGCUAGUUCGUGGUUAAGGUUGAGCAAUCUUUAUUUGUACCAAGAACCAAGUUUUAUGUUUUUGCAGUACUAAUAAAAAAUCCUUGCACUGGUGUUUUGGGGCGCAUAUAGACGACAUAGAGAAACAAAUACAAUAUAAUAUAAAAGGUAUGAAAUUUAAUCCAAGGAAGAAGCAAACAAACAAAAUAUCCAUAAAUCGAGUCAUACCUUAGUUGAAGGAUUAAAAACUUCAAAAUCACCAUCCAUCAAUAGAAAAGCUUGUUUUUCUCUAUCAGAACUAUUAGGGUUUUAGUUGGAAUGAACAUAGGAUAAACUAAGAGUGAUGCUAGAGUUUAGUUAUAGUAUGUGGGUCUAUUGAUAAAUUUGAUUUUUAUUAUUAAUUUCAUUUUGUACUUAAUAGUAAUUAUGCAAUAGGGUAAAAUAGACAAUUAAUAUUUAAAAUUUAAGUUGGAUGUAGAAAGAUGUUAGAUGGGUUUAAAUAAAAUUUCCCUAGAGCCAAUUCUUCCCCAAUUUAGACUAUACUAAUAUGAAAAAUUCCAUCUCCAAUCAGACUUCAUUCUUAAUACAAGUUAGCAUACUUACUAGAAACACCAAUUUUUUAUUUAGUAUUAUUAUUUUUUUCUGGGUAAUACUAGAGACAUCAACUUAUUAGUUUUUGCAUCAAUUUUUUUAAAUCCCAAAUUUCGUGGCAAUGUUUCAACGCAUUUUCUGUUCACAUUUUACAACAAAUAAGAAUUUGCAUUGUGACUUGUUAACAAUUAACUGGUGUCUCUUGCACUAUUAUUAUGUUUAUCAUUUCUUACAUACUUCCAAAAUUAGACAUGUAAUAUGAUUUGCAUCUCAGUGUUAAAUCAGAUGUGUUUGGCAGCUGGAGAAUAUAUUCUCAAUUUGCAUUCCAAUUUGUAUAUAAUUACUUUUGUUCAUGCAUGCACUGCAACAGAUGGACACUAUUCAAUAGCUACGAUGAGCACCGAGCAGCAGAAUGCUUCUUCGUCCUCUUACCGGUGCACAUAUGAUGCAUUCUUAAGUUUCAGAGGUGCAGAUACACGCAAGGGUUUUGCAGAUCACCUCUACAGUGCUUUGGAGUUGGCAGGAAUCCACACUUUUAGAGAUGAUGAUGAAAUUGAGGGAGGAGCAAACAUCGAACAGGAGCUACAGACAGCAAUACAAGAGUCACGAGUAUCAGUCAUUGUUUUUUCCACGGACUACGCCUCUUCCACGUGGUGCCUGAAUGAACUUGCUAUCAUCAUGGAACGUACAAAAACAGAUGGACACAAGGUUGUGCCAGUUUUCUAUGAUGUGGAACCAUCAGAUGUUAGGAAACAGACGGGCAGUUUUGCAGACUCAUUUACUAUACAUGAACAGCGCUUCAAGGACAAGAUAGACAAGGUGGAGGAGUGGAGACGAGCUCUUAGAGAAGUAACAGACCUGGGAGGGAUGGUUUUAGGAGAACGGUAAUUUGUCAUUCCCUCCCUAUAUUCAGUCAAGUAGAUCAGAUGCUAGUCUCAAGCUUGUGAAAGUUUUAGCUUUUCUUUUUUAAAUAAAAAAAUUAAAUAAAUAACUUGCUCGUGUUUUUUGUUUUCCUCUGAUAUAUUUUUAUAUCAAUAACAUAUAGGUACGAGUCGCACUUUAUCCAAGAUAUUGUUGAAGCUUUUGGAAAUAAACUGGACUACAUGAACAUGUGGAAUAGGAGAUUAAGAGUUGAUCCCUAUGUAAUUGGAAGAGAUUAUUAUGUGGAAAGCCUGAACACCUGGCUAGAAGAUGGAUCAAAUGAUGUUGGAGUAGCUGUCAUCCAUGGAAUGGGUGGAAUAGGCAAGACCACCAUUGCUAAAAUUGCUUAUAACCAGAACUUCUCUAAAUUUCAAGCUAGCAGCUUUCUAUCAGAUAUUAGGGAAACUUCCAAACAAGCCAAUGGUUUUGUUCACUUGCAGAGGAACCUUCUUUCCGAUAUCCAAAAGAGGAAAGUGAACAAUAUAUACAGCCAUGAUGAAGGUAUAGUAAAGAUCAAACGGGCUGUACGUUGCAAAAGAGUUCUUAUUGUUCUCGAUGAUGUUGAGAACUUGGAACAGUUCAAUGUGAUUCUUGGAAUGCGAGACUGGCUCCAUCCUGGAAGUAAAAUUAUCAUAACAACUAGACAUGAACAUUUGUUAAGGGCUGAAGUUUGUGUAAGGUUUAAGGUUGAAGGAUUACCUGAGCAUCAAUCACUUAAGCUUUUCAGUUGGCAUGCCUUUGGACAAACCCAUCCUCAAGAAGGUUACAUGGAGCUUUCAAGACCUGUAGUAGAACAUUGUGGAGGGGUUCCAUUAGCUCUUCAAGUUCUGGGAUCUUCUCUAUUUGGAAAAACAGUAGAUGUAUGGAAAAAUGCAUUUCACAACCUAGACGUGAUUACUGAGGGAAAAAUUCAAAAGAUUCUUGGCAUAAGUUUUCAUUCUUUACAAGAUCAUGAUAAACGUUUAUUCCUCCACAUAGCCUGUUUCUUCGUAGGGAAGGACAAGGAUUUUACAACUACAAUCCUUGACGAAUGUGAUUUUGCCACAGAGGUUGGACUUCAACAUCUGGUUGAUAGAUACCUUGUGGAAAUUAAUGUCCACAACAAGUUAAUCGUGCAUCAAUUACUUCAAGACAUGGGAAGGGCAAUAAUUCAUGAAGAAUCAUCUGAGGACCCUGGAAAGCGCACUAGACUGUGGCAUAAAGAUGCAUUUAACGUUUUGACAAAAUUAACGGUAAGAAACAUGAAUUUUAUGUGUACAUAUUUGCAAUGGUGUUCUGCAUGGUAACUUAUCCAAUGUUCUUAUUUGUUAGCAGGGUACGAGAACUAUCAAGGGCUUCAUGCUCCACUUUCUCCCAACAGAUUCAUCUCCGGUAAAUGAGGUAGGUUUCGAAACAAAGGCAUUCACAGAGAUGCUCAAUCUUGAACUACUUCUGCUUGAUAAUGUAAAGUUGAGUGGAAGCUAUGAAGAUUUUCCAAAAAAAUUAAUAUGGUUGUCUUGGAGAGGAUUGUCUUUAAAAUCAAUACCGGCCAAUUUUUGUUUGGAAAAUCUAGUUGCUCUAGACUUACGGAAGAGCAGUCUGCAACGUGUUUGGAAAGGAACCAGGGUAUGUUCUAAUCUCUCUCGCUCUCUCUCUCUCUCUCUCUCUCUCUCUCUCUCUCUCUCUCUUUCACUCAAUACACACAAAUAAAAAUAAAUUUCAGUGAAAUUAGACUCUGUAUUCAUAGCAACUAAUGACUUCUCUUUGAUACAGUUUCUUACAAGAUUGAAAAUUCUUAAUCUCAGUCAUUCACAUGGCCUUUGGACAACAUCUGACUUGUCCGGACUCCCUAACCUUGAGAAACUAAUUCUUAAGGAUUGCAUUAAUUUGGUUGAGGUUGAUGAAUCCAUUGGAAACUUGGGGAAACUUGUUUUCUUGAAUCUAAAAGACUGCAAAAGUCUUAUGAAGCUUCCAAAAAGAAUGAGCAUGAUGAGGUCUCUUGAGGAACUUAUUCUUACCGGUUGCUCAAAGCUUGUGCUUCAUGAUAGUGCCAUGGUUAUUUAUAUUCACACUACAUCAAGGGAUAUGAAUAAACUUAGACUGUUGUCAACUAUAUCAUGGACACCAAUCAGGUUUUGGUGGAUGUGGGCAUGGCCAAGAAAGACUCUUCAAUCAACCAGUUUCUCACUGGCAAGUUUACCACGUUGUUUGGGAAGCUUAAGUCUGUCUUACUGCAACGUGUCAGAGGUUCCCAAUGAUUUAUGUACACUAUCUUCCUUGAAAUAUUUGAAUCUAAUUGGUAACUCAAUUUUGUGCCUACCACAAAACAUGAAGAGUCUUAUUAUGCUCGAGACUCUUUUGUUAGAUAAAUCCAUAAACCUUGAAAUGCUUCCAGAGCUGCCCCCAAGGUUGAAGAGGUUGGAAACAAAAUAUUGUACAUCAUUGAAAAGAUUAACAAAUUUACCAUUGUUCAGAUCAUUAGAAUCACUGUUUUGGGGUUGCGAGCAAUUAGUUGAAAUUGAAAGCUUGUUGAAUAUAAAACCGUCGAGAAGCGCUGAUAUAGAAAUGAGAAGAUAUAUGGGCCCGUUCAAUUUGAAAUCCAUAACAAGCACUGAUGUUGAAAUGAUCAACUACUUGACCAGUACAACUAGGAAGGUUCCUGUCCAGGUCUUUCUCUCUGUCUCCUCUCUCAUGUAUAGUUGUUCUAAUUAUUAUAUCUAUGAACUAGUUGGGUCUAACUGUUUGAAUAAUUAAAUUUGAAUUGUGCAAUCUUGAUGAAGCAGGGAGUCUAUGAAUGUGGCGUAUAUAGCAUUUUCCUUCCUGGAAGCAAGAUUCCAGAUGGAUUUGGCUUCACAACAAUAUAUGGAUCAGCGCUGUCGGCUAUUGCAUCUUCACAUCCUAAUCUCAAAAUCCAAGCCUUGAAUGUAUGUGUUUUAUAUGCAAUAGAACCGGGCUUGGCAAUUGAUGACUAUCUUGUUAGUGCUCAGCAUUUGAUUAAAGUCAGUAAUCAGACCAAGGGUCUUAUGUGGACCUAUUCCCCAGUCACAGUAGGUUUUCCAACUGAGAAGGAAGAUAUGUUAUGGCUAAGCCAUUUUCAAAUUGGGAACAAUGAAUUGGAGUAUGGGGACCAAAUACGUGUUUCGGUGGAGAUGCAUGAUUUUUGGAUAAAGGAGUUCGGAAUCCAGCUUGUGUACGAGCAGGAAAGACCUCCUUCUAGCCAGAAUAAUGUUGUUGCUGGAGAUGUGUCAAUGUCAGCAUCAGAGUACCAAAUGUGGACAGGAAAAUACUUUAAUCAUAGGCACCGUACUCAUCAAACUCAAUUCCGAAAGAGACAGGAGAAUCCAGCACAUAUUGAAUUUUCGUUUGAGCCAAAGCAUCAGCUUCAUACUUAUUCAAGGCCCAAAGACCAUUGAAAAUAUUUUGAAACUUAGAGCAUGUCCAGCAGAUUCCCCAUCUACUUCUACUCACCUAUUUUGGAGAAAAUGAAGAGAAACCUCCCUCCUUAGUUCUUUUUCCAACAUCAUUCGUUCAUGGUUGGAAGGAAAGAUCAGCAUCAAUUAUCUUGGUGAGUGUCGUCUUUUUGUUCUUUCUUGUUAUAUCUUUCUGAAUAUAAACUCAUGGCUUUGUUGGAUUUGUUGCUCUUUGUUUAUUGCUUUGAUUUGUUAAUUGAAUGAAUAUAUUAAACAAAAGGAGGGGAAAGGCCUACGAACUCGUGUAGUUGAUGCAUGUAGUACUCAGUACUACUCUUUCAGACAAUAAUCCUAACUUUAAAUCCCACUUAACGUCAUAUAAUUUGGUGUCUGUAGUAUGUUUGGUGGUCUAGAUCACUCAUUUGAGAUAUACAUGUGAACCAAAAAGCUGUUUAACUUGAAAAAAGGGGAAAUUUAGCAUGCCCCUGAACUUUUAAAAUGUUGGGAGCAGCUCAGGUUUGAGUCCCAGCAAAGGCAUGCUUUUCUUAAUUUUUGCACGACUUACAGCUGGUGCGAGGGACCUCUGCGCGUUAACUAUGUGUCAGUCUGGGUCCAUUUAUUCCCUAGCCAUCAGUGUGCUGUCUAACUUUGUCUUUUAUAUUCACAAAAAAGCAUUGGCAGUCUUGACAGUGUCGAAACUGUUUACCGUGUUCAAACCGUGUGCAGGGCGUGUCAGCAUGUCAGAGUGUCUGACACUUUGAGGUUUGGGAGUGUCCGUGCAACCUAGGCUUCAAGAACGAGAUGGACAAGGUGGAGAAGUGGAGAAGAGCGCUUACUGAUGUUGCAAAUCUGGGAGGGAUGGUUCUAGAAGAUCGGUAAUUUCGUAAAACAUUUUCUUUAAUUUGAAAUUAUUAUCUAUAUAUGACCUUUUAUAACUUGUUUAUUAGGCACAUUAUUGUUAGCUUAUAGGGUAUGAGUGGCAGUUUAUCCAAGAUAUUGUUCAAGAGGUUGGAAGUAAGCUGGAUCGCGUGGCAGUAAAUGUUGCUCCCUAUGAUGUUGGAAUCGAUAUUUGUGUGCACGGAAUCAACAGAUGGUUAGAAGAUGAUUCGGGUGAUGCUGGUGCAGCGGUUAUCUAUGGGAUGGGUGGAAUUGGCAAAACCACCAUUGCCAAAGCUGCUAAUAAGACGAACCUUGCAAAAUUUUAAGGAAACGGCAGCUUUCUUGCAGAUAUUGGCUUGCAAAUAAAUCUUCUUUCCGAUAUCCAAAGGGUGAAAGUAAAGAAAAUAAGCAAACAUGAAGGACUAAUCAAGAUUAUGCAUGCUGUAGGUUGCAAUAGAGUUCUUAUAGUUCUUGAUGAUGUGAACCAUUUGGACCAAUUCAAUGCAAAUCUUGGAAUGUAUUGAAUUUUGAAUGUCUAUAUUUUGUAUUAUGUAAAACUAAGUACAAUGAAAGCUCAUAUAAAUGAGCGGAAGAAAGGAAAAGAAAACAGAAGCCGAAAGAAAGGGAGGACAAUCAGAAAACAUGGAGCAGAAAACAUGGAAAAGUAAAGGUGAGGAAAACAUGGAAAAGUAAGAAAACAUGGAGCAGAAAACAUGGAAAAGUAAAGGUGAGGAAAACAUGGAAAAGUAAAGGUCACCAUACACCCAUGCUUUCUUCCAAUACUCCCCCUCAAGCUGGAUCAAAGGGAUUAAUUGAUCCAAGCUUGAACAAAAGACGUUGAAAAUCAGCAGAGGGUAAUCCUUUUGUGAAAAUAUCCGCAAGUUGAUCAUGACUGCGCGUGUAGUGAGUGUCGAUCACCUUGGACUGAACUUGAUUUCUGACGUAGUGACAAUCAACUUCAAUAUGUUUAGUUCGCUCAUGGAAUACAGGAUUCGAUGCAAUGUGCAUCGCGGCCUGAUUAUCACAGUGUAGGGACAUGGGUUGUUGAUGAGGAAAACCUAAAGUCAACAGAAGGAUUUUGAGCCAAAUAAGUUCACAAGCAGUGGACGCCAUAGCACGAUACUCUGCCUCUGCACUAGAGCGUGCAACAACACUUUGUUUCUUGCUUUUCCAGGUAACUAGGUUGCCUCCCACAAACGUACAAAACCCAGUGGUAGACUUGUGAUCGAGAGAAUUGCCUGCCCAGUCAGCAUCGGUAUAGCCUGAGAUCUGAGUGUGACUAUUGUUGCGCAUAAGAAUUCCUCUACCAAUGGAACCCUUAAGAUAACGUAGCACACGAUGAACAAUCUUCAAAUGAUCCAUGCUUGGAGAGUGCAUAAACUGGCUAACAAUGCUGACAGCAUAUGAUAUAUCAGGACGUGUGAUAGUCAGAUAAAUGAGUUUGCCAACCAUUCUUUGAUAGUAACUUAAAUUGGGAACUGGAUCACCGUGAGUUUUUAGCUUCAAGUUGCUAUCCAAGGGGGUACGAGCAGGCUUGCAAUCUGUCAUUUUUGCUUCGUGAAGAAGAUCCAUGACAUACUUGCGUUGGUUGAGGAAGAAACCCUUGUGAGAGUGUGCCAUCUCGAUGCCCAGAAAGUAUUUGAGAGUGCCAAGAUCCUUGAUAGCAAACUUGUUGUUGAGAUACUGUUUAAGAGCAUUAAUCUCUGACAUAUUAUCACCUGUCACAAUUAGAUCAUCAACAUAAAUGAGCACAACUAGUUUACCCACUAAGCUGGAACGAACAAAUAGGGAAGAAUCCGCAAUACUUCGACAAAAACCAACCCUUUCCAGAACAUGACUGAGUUUGGCAUACCAUGCACGUGGACUUUGCUUGAGACCAUAAAUGGAUUUAUGGAGUUUGCACACCAUUUCUGGAUUGUUUGAUUGAGGAUGACCUGGGGGUAGCUUCAUGUAAACCUCUUCUUCAAGUUCACCAUGCAGGAAAGCAUUUUUAACAUCCAUUUGAAAGAGAGGCCAUGCAUUGUUAAUUGCAACCGACAACAAUACUCUAACAGUGUUCAUUUUUGCCACCGGAGCAAAUGUCUCUUUAUAAUCGACGCCAUAGGUUUGUGUAAAACCUCGAGCAACCAAGCGAGCCUUAUUCCUUUCGAUUGUGCCAUCUGAAUGAAACUUAGUUUUGUACACCCAACGACUCCCCACUGCCUUCUUUCCUUUUGGAAGUUUCACUAUAGUCCAUGUGUUAUUUUCAUGGAGGGCUUGAAGCUCCUCUGCCAUAGCAUUUCUCCACUCACUGUGAAGAUUGGCUUCUUGAAAACUUUGAGGUUCUCGAGCUUCAUUAAUGGCACUUAGGAAUGUAGCAAAAGAAGAUGAGACUUUGCUAUAAUCAAUAACAUCAGUCACGGCAUACCUGGCAGUGUAGGUCACAUAAUCAUGCAACUUGGAUGGAAGUUUCCUCUCUCGUGCAGGAUUGCGACGAACUAUAGGAGAUUGAACUACAGGUAUUUGAACAACAUCAUGGUUGGAAGGAUCACUGGAGGGUGCAGUGUGAAUCUCUGAUGAGGAAGGGUUUUCAUCUUCAAGAUGUUCCACCGAGUGAAGGUUAACAUCAUCCGGCACAUGAUCACUAGGAGUGCAUGUUGCAUCUUCUCCGUUUGGAUAUGGAAAAGGAAAUAAGUCCAUCAAAUGCUCCCCCUGUCUAGAGUAAUCCAGUGAUUGUGAGAAGUAAGGAACAUGUUCUUCAAAUUUAACAUCCCUUGAAACAACCAUUUUUCUAGUUGUUGAAUUAUAGCACUUGUAACCUUUUUGGGUAGAUGAAUAACCUAGAAAGACACAUUUGGCAGCCCUUGGGUCUAGCUUGUCACGAUUUUGAGUUUGAAUGUGAACAAAGCAUGUACACCCAAAGACUCUCAAAUGGGAAAAGUUGAUCUUUCUAUUUUUCAAGACCUCAUAAGGUGAUUUAAAAUUCAACACUUUACUAGGCAAUCUAUUGAUGAGAUAUGCCGCAGUAAGGACUCCUUGAGACCAAAACUUUUUAGGCACAUUCAUGUGAAACAUAAGAGCUCUAGUCUUCUUAAGUAGAUCUCUAUUCUUCCUCUCGGCCACCCCAUUUUGUUGAGGUGUUCCAACACAGCUUGUUUGGUGUAAUAUACCAUGCGUGCUCAAGUAGUGUGACAUGUUAUGAGACAUAUAUUCUGUGCCGUUAUCUGAUCGUAAAAUAUGAAUUUUUGAAGCAAAUUGGGUGGCCACAAGUCUAUGAAAAUCUUGAAAAACUUCCAUCACUUCACUUUUAAAUUUCAAAAGAUACAACCAAGUAAUCCUUGUGAAAUCAUCCACAAAAGUUACAAAAUAUUUGUAUCCAUCAAAAGACUCUAUAGUUGGUCCCCAAACAUCAGAAUGCACAAUUUCAAAAGGGUUACUAGCCCUAGACAAAGAGGAAGUAAAUGGUAAUCUAGUAAACUUAGAAAAAUGACAAACAUCACAAGGACUUGUAACUUUGCACAUAUUUGGGAACAAGGUGGAUAGAACUUUUUCAGAAGGAUGUGCUAGGCGUUGGUGCCAAAGUUGUUGUUCUUGAGCUAAGCUUGAAGUGACUUGAAAAACCUUGGGAACUUGAAUAUGCUUGGAAAGAUAGUAGAGACCAUUUAAGAAAAAUCCUUCACCAAUCAUCUUCUUGGUGACUACAUCCUGAAAGAUCACAUUUUUGGGAGAGAAAAUGGCAAGACAAUUUAAUGAGUUUGUGAUCUUGCUAACAGAUAAAAGUUGAAAAGGGAAUGAGGGAACAUAAAGAGCCUCAGACUCGACAUCACUUGAGAUCAAAUGUAUUUUUCCUUUUCCCACAACCAUAGCAUUUUUUCCAUUGGCAACUGACACUUGGGAUGGAAUAGAAAAAUUUUCAAAUUUAUGCAAGUUUGUAGAUUUGUUAGUCAUAUGAUCAGUGGCUCCAGAAUCUAUAAUCCAAUAAUCAUGCACAUUACCAAUGUUGAGAACAGUUGAGAAGGAGUGUAAGAUACCUAGGAUGUCCCUUUGUACCACGCCUUCAUUUCCAGCCAGGAAGCCAGCAAACUGUCCUAGUAGUGCAGUUUGAUUGUUGUCACACUGAUUUAGUGGUCCUUCACUAUCUCCAAGACCUUGUUUCUUGUGAAGAAACAUAGCAAACUCGUUGAUCAGUGCAGCUGGAUUAGUGGUGAACUUCAGUGCUCUAUUAGAAGAAGUUGUGGCAACAUGAUUUGCCUUGUAAGAAGGGUUGUACGAGCCUUUCGAGACACCUUUGUUAUCCCUAGGAAACUUUGGUUUUAACUCUGGAUGAAGAAUCCAGCAUCGAUCUCUUGAGUGCCUACCAGCAUCACAAUGGCUACAUUUUAAGCCAGUUUUCUUUCCUUUGUAGCCUCUCUCCUCACCAAGUUUUUGGUUAGAAAAGUAAGCCCUAGCUUCUGGUAUAUUUGCCUUCAUGUCCAUGGUCAUGACUUUCCUUCGAACCUCUUCUCUUUGAAUUGUGGCACACACACUUGAAAAAGAAGGCAGGUCGGGAUUCAUGAGGAUAUGACUUCGAAGAUCUUCGAAUUCAGGACUCAGACUUGCUAGGAGUUGGAAUAUUUUGUCUUCCUCGGCUCUUUUAGUUAGCACAGCAGCGUCGAUGGUGUGUGGUCGAUACACAUUCAGCUCGUUCCAUAUAGUGGUCAGCUUUCCAAGAUGUUGCACAAAUGGCUUUCCUUCCUGUUGCAAACCAGCAAUGUCCUUCUUUAACUGAAACACUCUAGCCGCAUUGUUCUGAUUUCCAUACAUUUCCUUGAGAUUUUUCCAAAGAGUCAUGGAGGAUUCAGCAUAGCUAAAAAUUUCUGCAAUCUUACGAUCCAUGGAAUUGAGUAGCCACGACAUGACCAACUGGUCUUUGCAUAGCCAAGCAUCAUACUCCGGUGAGGUAGUCUCAGGCAUUGGAAUAGCACCAUUAACAUAACUAAGCUUUGAUCGUCCUCCCAGAGCAAGAGAAACUGCUCUCUCCCAUGAAAGAUAGUUAAACUCAUUUAGCAAGACAGAACUAAGACGUUGAUUUGGGUUGAUAUCAAUAUCUGAGUGUGGUGAUGGUGGAGUAGCAUGAAAGCCGUCUCCUUCCAAAUUUACUAAGAUUUCUUCAGCCAUGAUUGAAGGACAAGAAGCUCACAAAUCCCUCAAGAGAACAUCACAGAGACAGGCCGGUUAGGGUCACUGCUCUGAUACCAUAUUGAAUUUUGAAUGUCUAUAUUUUGUAUUAUGUAAAACUAAGUACAAUGAAAGCUCAUAUAAAUGAGCGGAAGAAAGGAAAAGAAAACAGAAGCCGAAAGAAAGGGAGGACAAGCAGAAAACAUGGAGCAGAAAACAUGGAAAAGUAAAGGUGAGGAAAACAUGGAAAAGUAAGGAAACAUGGAGCAGAAAACAUGGAAAAGUAAAGGUGAGGAAAACAUGGAAAAGUAAAGGUCACCAUACACCCAUGCUUUCUUCCAAUAGAAUGCGAUAGUGUUUUCACCCGGGAAGUAAAGUUACCGUAACAACUAGACGUAAAAGGCUCAUGAUAUUUAUCCAGUAUUUGAGAUUAAAGAACUGAGUGAAUAUGAAACACUGGAGCUUUUCAAGCGACAUGCCUUCGGGCAAGCCAAUCCCAUUGAAAGUUACUUGGAGUCAUGAACCUCGACCAAAUUGAAGCAAUCUUUGAGAGUCAAUUGCUAAUGGUUUGGGACUUCUGACAAGUUGGGGGUUGUCAUAAGGCCAUGUGAGUGGCUGAGAUUAACGGUUCAGCCUUGGAAGGGAACCAGGGUAUGUUCUAAUCUCUCUUUCUCUCUCUCUCUCUCUCUCUCUCUCUCUCUCUCUCUCUCUCUCUCUCAAAAUACACACAAUCAAAAAUAAAUUUCAGUGAAAUUAAACUCUGUAUUCAUAGCAACUAAUGACUUCUCUUUGACACAGUUUCUUAGAAGAUUGAAAAUUCUUAAUCUCAGUCAUUCUCAUGGCCUUAGGACAACAUUUGUCCGAACUCCCUAAGACCAUCUCCAACCCUUGGACUAAAAGCUAAAUUUUUUAGUCCGGAAAAUUUAGCUUUUAGCCCAGAAACAACUUUUCUGCUCCAAUCCUUCUGGUCUAAAAUUUUAGCCCGGGAUUAUUAAAGAAUGAAUUUAGGCUAAUUUUUUUCUUAAAUUAACUUCUUUUUUUUUUAAAUAAUUAUGUAGACUAUCGUAAAUUAAUUUUAUAAACAUUUUAAUCUAAAAAUAUUUAAAUUCCGAUAAAUAUUGAAAAAUCACUAAAUUUUUCCACAAAGCAAGCCUUCAUUUUUUUUAAAUUAUUUUAGCCGUUGGAUUUAAAUUUGGGCCAUUAGAUCUUUUUUUUUUUACCAUUAGAUUUGAUUAUAUUCGAUCUCAGCCGUUGGAUUCAAUGUAUUUUAAAAUAACAUUUAAAAAAAAUUAAAUUUGAAUCUGGACCGUUGGAUCAACCAACGGUCCAAUAAUGUCAACCGUCCGAUGAACAAAAGAGUCGUUGGGCUUAUAAUUGCUUCCGACAGCAGCCCUGACAGUGGGUCCCACUCUGUCGGGCGCUGAAGGCUAACGCCCGCGUGGGGCGAGUGGUGUGAGUGACCGGGCCGAAAGUGGGCUGGGAAAGAGAGAGUCAACACGUUUGUAGGCUAUUUCUUGGGGGGAAUUUGGCCCUCAAUUGGCAUUUGGCUUUUAGCCCAAAGAUUUGGCUUGGGUUGGAUUGGAUUUUGGGGGAGGGGAAUUGGGGGGAGAAAUUUGGCAUUUAGCCCAAGGUUGGAGAUAGUCUAAAGGAUUGCAUUAAUUUGAUUGGAAACUUGGGGAAACUUAUUUUCUUGAAUCUAAAAGACUGCAAAAGUCUUAUGAAGCUUCCAAAAAGAAUGAACAUGUUGAGGUCUCUUGAGGAAUUUAUUCUUACUGGUUGCUCAAAGCUUGUUCUUCAUGACAGUGCCACGGUUAUUCAUUUACAUUCUACAUCUAGGGAUAUGAAUAAACUUAGACUGUUAUCAAUUAUAUCAUCGACACGAGAAAAUUUUCCAGAUGACCGGUACAACUGUUGAGCUGGAGUUCCCCUCCAAUUACAUGAUGCCACAUACAGCUGCAUAGAUUAGUUUUGUUUAAUAAAAAAUAAAAAGAAAAAGAAAAAACUUGUAGAAGGUGUAAAGUCACCCUCCCAGCGGCCGAUCCCACCAACCCAACGGCGACUCACUUCCAAUUGACGACGACGAAAAAGAUUUCAGCUUCCUCGAGGAACCCACCGACCACAGCGCCGCACCAUUCAGAUUCGGACAAUUACGACGAUUUCGAGAACUUCUCCGAUGUCGACGAAGACGCUUUCAGGAGAUGAUGGCAGGCUUGCCAGCCCCAAGACUCCUAAGUGGGUUUAUGGCAUUUUCAGUGAUGGGGAUGGGGUGGUGGCCAUUUUCGGUGAUGGGUUGAUGCAAUUUUGGGUUUUUGAUCAAAACCCAUCAAAAUUCACCACCACUUAAUCAAAAAUCCAAAUCAAACCCCAACAAAAACAAUCAAAUUCACAAGUUUUAUCAGAGAAAGAAAAAACAAAAAAAACAUGAACAGAUGAUGGAAAAGGGUGGAAUGGAUGCGGGUGGGGCGUAAUAGAAUGGAAAAGAGAGGAAUCUGUGUUCUUCAUUUAAUUAAUUUAAAUUAUAUUCUUAAAAUAAAUGUUAAUUGUCAUUAUAAAAGAUGAUGUCAACCUAGAUGUCAGAUGUUAAUAGGUGGAACACCGGGUCAGCAAAUGUACCCGUCACGUGGAAAAAUUUCUCCAUGGACACCAAUUAGGUAUUGGUGGAUGUGGGCAUGGCCAGGAAAGACUCUUCAAUCAACGAGUUUCUCUCUGGCAAGUGUACCCCCUUUUUUGGGAAGCUUAAGUUUGUCUUACUGCAACAUGUCAGGUUUCCAAUGAUCUGUGUACACUAUCUUUGUUGAAGCAUUUGAAUCUAAUUGGUAAUCCAAUUUUGUGCCUACCACAAAAAAUGAAGAGUCUUAUUAUGCUUGAGACUCUUUUGUUAGAUAAUUGCACGAACCUCAAAAUUCUUCCAGAGCUCCCACCAAGGUUGAAGAGGUUAGAAGCAAAAUAUUGUACUUCAUUGAAAAGAUUAAGAAAUUUACCAAACUUAUUCAGAUCAUUGGAAUCACUUUUUUGGGGUUGUGAGCAUUUAGUUGAAGUUGAAAGCUUGUUGAAUAUAAAACCGCUGAGAAAUGCUGACAUAGAAAUGACAAGAUAUAUGGGCCUGUGCAGUUUGAAAUCCAUAUCAAGCACUGGUGUCGAAAGAUCUCCAUCUAGCCAAAAUAAUGUUGUUGCUGGAGAUGUGUCAAUGUCAGCAUAAGAGUACCAAAUGUGGACAGGAAAAUACUUUCUCAGUAAUCAUAGGCACCGUACUCAUCAGGCUCAGGUUCAAUGGUUCACAACUUAUUCAAGGCCCAAGGACCAUUGGAAAAUAUUGCGAGAGGAUGUCCAGCAGAUUCCCCAUCUGCUUCUCGUAAUCUGUUUUUGGCGAAAAUGAAGAGAAACAUCCUCAGUUCUUUGUCAACAUCACAUCAGUCAUUUCAUUUAUGGUUGGAAAGAAAGACCAGCAUCAUUUUCCUUGGUGAGUAUCGUCGUUUUUGUUCUUUCUUGUUCUCGUUCUGAGUAUAUACUCAUGGCUUUGUUGGAUUUGUUGCGCUUUUUGCUUAUUGUCAUAAAGAGCAAUCAAGGAAAAAAAACCGGAACAGUCUGCAUGAGUUUGUUGGAAAUUAUAUAUUAUAGUAUAAAAUAUUGUAAUAUAUAAUUUUAAUAAUUGAAUGAAAAAAUAGUGUUAACCAUAUUUCUUAGAAAUGUUAUGUUAUUUAGGUGCAUUCCCUUGUUAAAUAAUGUAUACUUAUAGAUGAAAAGUUACAUCUCCUAACAAGAAGUACUUGGGUUCUAUUUAAACUCAUGAAACCAUUAUCAUUAAAUAUAGAAAAUUAGAGUUAAUUUUUACUCUUGAGAAAUAGGGUUUCCCCACUUUGUUUCUCUCAUGCUUUGUGUGUCAAAUUCCAAGUCGUGUCUUGAGAGUACGGAAUAUAUAAAGUUCGUCAGAGUUCAAAGAUUGAAGUGUUUUGACUUCGGAUUAUAGAUUGUUGAAUCCUGAGAGAUAGACACCUACCGAACUACCAAACUACAAGCACAAGAGUAUGAGCGAUAUUCUAUCUUUAGGACAUUACAUUCAUGAAAGCCUCAAUCUCCAGGUUUAUCAGUUUUUCUAACUUUAUCUUUAGUUGUUUAUAUUAAUCUCAUACAUAAUUGAUGUCGUGAAUUUCUAUGUGAUUAUUAUUAUUAUUAGAAUUCUUGUAUUAUUUUCAUAUUUUCUAAUACUGUUCCAACAGAGUUUGCAUAUGAAGUUUUAAACCCCCUAUAGAGCAAAGCCAACUUGAGCGUAACAGCAGUGGGGCAACAUAUGUUUCUGAAAAUCCUACAGUUAGUUUCCCUCCAAAACUCCUUACAAACGAAUCUUGAGCACCUGCAUUGCCUAAUAAUUGUUUUAGCUACCAUGUUAACAGAAGCAAUAACUGUAAACGGACUAUAACAGUUGAGAAAUAUUUAAGUACCAAAAAGAGUCAGCUAUAUCAGAAAUAAUUAUGCUAGAGUUGAGUCGUUUAACUUCUCAUAUGUUAUGGCUUAGUCCUUUUAUGGCGGACUUUAACUCCGUUUUUCUAUAUUUUCAGAGAAAGUCCGCAAAACUUAAAUCCUAUUGUUCUUUUUUGGCCUUUUUCUAAUAUUUUUCUGCCUUUUUCUACUAUAGUACUACUCCAGACAAUAAUCCUAGUGGCCCAAAAUUAUAUCCUAACUUUAAAUCCCAAUUAAGGUGAUAUAAUUGGUUUUUUAUGUUUAUGCUCACUAGAAACCUCAUUGAUCUACAACGAACAAAUUGGUGCCUGUAGUAUUUGUGAUGUUCUAGAUCACUCAUUUGAGCAAUACAUGUGAACCAAAUGUGGGUAGCAGCUCAGGUUCAUGCUUUCUUAAUUUUUGCACGACUAGCAGCAGCUGGUGAGAAAAAUAUUAGAAAAAUGCCAAAUUAACUUGGGGAUGACCUAACGAGGGACCUGAGAUACUCAAGAACCCGUACCACACUUUUUCAUCUUUUUCUUUUUCUCUCUUUUUCCUUUUUGUUUUAGUCAUAUCUUUUUCUUUGCAUGCGGACCUCAUCGAAAUCAAACAAAAAUAAGAAAAAUUAAACUCAUCAUUAACUUCCAGACGAAACUUUAGACCAAGUGGCGUGAGAUUUGUCCAUGAUUCGGGUGGGGGUAGGUGGGCUGGGGUCAGUUCUCAUUAUUUACUCACACCUACACAUCUGUGCAUCCACCCCAAUUUAGAUGUUUUGGGAUCUUGGACUAGCAAUAUUUUUCAAAUAACAGAGAGGAGAUUGGAGAGAGAUGGGAGAAGGAGCGAGAGAGAAUAGUACGGUUACAUUUUAGAAUUUUUAUGACAUAAAAUACUAAUAAUGAUAAAAGUUAACUAGAGUUAUGUGAGAGGACAUAUAUCAAGCUAAAAGUGUGUGGAUAGCAUACAUCAGGAUAAGUUCGAGGCAUUUUUACUCACUGCUCUCAAGUAAUGGUGAUGGUCACAAUAUUUUUAUUACAGUUUGAUAAGUUUAAUUUUUGAAAUUUAUGUCUUCCACAGCAGAAACAGAUUACAAAUAACAAACAUACGAACAAACGGAUUACAAAUUAUUGAAUAUAUUUGACUAACAAAACAACAAAGAAACAGGAUUGUCGAGAUGACUACACUCAACUACAUACCAACUUAUUAUCCAUCUAAACAAACUACAUUUGUGGGGAGCAAAAUCUAAGAAACCCUAAUUCAAAUAGGAUAAGCCUAAAUCAUAAACUAACCAGCAAAACCAAAUAAUCAAAUAAUUAAUUUUUCAACACUCGUCAAAUUCAAAAGGAUAUAUGACAUGAGUUUGCCAACAAGUAAAUUUUAAUUUAGACAUAAUGAUGUUGAGAGUAUAAAAAGAAGGUAAAUGAGUGCUCACCGUCACUAGACAAAUAAGAUUUUCAUAUUUCAAUUACAGCAAUGAAUAAACAAAAACAACACUUUCACUCGAAGCUCCCAAACAAGCCAAUAACUCGCGUCGGCCUCAAAGACUUCACAAAACACAAACGUGUGGGCCAAAACCUCAACCAAUUUCCAAUUUUUUCUUUUCCGUGUGGACCUCAAACAUACCACCACUUUUUCUUCUUUUUCUUUUUCUAUCUUUUUUCCUUUUCUUUUUCCCCAUCUUUUCCUCACCCUCAUAUACCAAAAAGGAGAAGAAAAGAGAAAGCAAAAGAUUCGUCCUUCUUCUUCAGCUGCUCUGGUAGCAUCUCCCACCUCCUCUUCUUCAUCAACUCUUAAGACCUACGCCUGUUCAGAUCCUUGAAAAUUUGAGCAUGGUGGAGAGGAACUAUAGUUAUCAACUUAAGGUUGUGAGUGAGCAAAAUUUGAUUUGUGAAAUCGUCCAUUUCACAGUGUCUUUUUGAAGAAACUAGUUGGGACUUUCAUCCAACAGCUUUCGGCAUCUUACAAUACACAACUCUGGUGUGUGCGAGGUACCUCCAAGCUCCCCUCUUGUGAAAACAUACAUCUGCUUGUAUUAUUAACUUUCAAUUGAAAUCUUCAUGGCCGAUGAGUCAAAUGCAUUAACUUUGGAUCCUCUUGCUUUCUUAUCUUUAUUUUUCUUUUUAAUAUUUUCCUAUUAAAACUAAGAUCUAAAGGCUUUAAAUUCAUGGAAAUUAUUUUGUAAGACUUCAAUUUUUUUUCUUUUCAAAACGUGAACUAAAUCCAUUUCAUGAAAAAUGAUCUAGUCCUUUUCGCUUUUUUCUUCUUAAAAUAAAUAUGAGUCAUUAUAUUAAUAAUUAAUUUAUUAAAAAUUGAUGGAAUAUAUUUUUGUAUAAAGUUUUAAUAUGAAUUUCUUUUAGGAUUACACAUAAGAGCAGCUCCAGCCCGAGGGACAGGCUGACGAACAGGGCUUGAAUGCCCGAGUGAUGAAAGCCCAGCGUGUGCUGGCGAGCGAGCCCUAGCAGGCCCGAGGGAGAGGCCCGUGGAUUCGUGCCGGCCCGAGCGCCCGAAGGCUGUCUGACGUGGGCUGACGUCAGGGCGACGUCGAAGGCUGUCUGACGUGGGCUGACGUCGGGCGACGUCAGUGGCACCUCUCUCUCUCUCGCUGCCUGCGAUUGAGGCAUUCCUUCUCUGAAACCUUCACAUUGUGAUGGCGUCGAAGGGUAAGGGGAUCGCCGCAGGAGGUGGAUUCUCCGGCGGGAAGCGUAAGCACGAUGACAAGUCCGGUGGUGGCCGGAAGAAGAGCAACCCCGGCGUCCUUAGAUUCUUCGAAGACGUCGCUGACGAAGCCGACGACGGCGACGAGAGUGACUUCGAUGAUGGUAUAUUCCGUCUCUGAUGUCUUUUAUGGUCGCAUUUUCCAUCUGGGUUCGGAUUUCUAGGGUUUUUGAAAUGGGUAUUUUUUUUGGAUCUUGCUUUGUGCGUAUUGACUGAUUAAACCUUUAUUAAUUUCCUGCAUUUCCUUUGUAUAUUUGAAUUUCUGGCUUUUGUGGUUGCUUGUGGAGUUUCAAUAUUUUUUUUUUGAAGUGUGUAGUUAGGUUGCUUGCUUAAUUUCUUUAACUUGUCUGCUGACCAUAAUGUAAAUAAUAACGCGUGACGCAACGAUUAAAAAUUUUAUCCAAAAUUACAAUAAAAUUAUUUUGUAUUAUUUUAUAAAUAAAAAAAUACUAAUAUUUUAUUACUAAUUGCCAGCUAUUUACUGUAGGGGUAGAGAUGCAAAAUGUGGUUACUGUUUAUUAAAGACAAUUACUGUUUAUUGGAUGGAUAGCAUAUUUGAUAGCCCUAUGGGGCCUUAGACACGGUGUAACUGCUCUAAUGUGUCGUUAGCUUUUUACAUACCAAAUUUAUGAUAAUAUAAAUGUACCGAUAGUUUUCUAUGUAUUUAAAUAAAAAUUACAUAACAUACCAAAACUAAUUUGUACACAAAUUUGAAUUACAUAGUAUGCCAAUAACCUACUAAAUUAUUGACACGUUACAUUUAGUAAAUAAAAGCAUUGAUAUAUAUAUAUAAUAUCGUUUAGAAUUUUAAAGUACGUUGGUACUUUUAAAAUAUCACUUUUGAUUUUUUUUGAUAAACAAUUCAACUUUUUUUGUUUUUAUAGAACUUUUAUUGUUUUUUAUUCUUUUGAAAUAUAUUGAAAUAAAAAGAUAUAAAUUAACAAUAUAUUGAAAAAAAACCCUUAGAUAUUUGGUCUAAGAAAUUCAAAAACCGAGCAUCUAGAUCAAAAUGCCCCCCCCCCCCUAAAUUAUUUGGUGGUUAAGAGCCCUAAAUGAGCUCCUCACUAAAACUUAGAGAGUAUUUGAAAAAUUCCAUCUCGAAUCAGACCUUCAUUCCUAAUACAAGUAAGCAUACUAGAGCCAAGUUACAUGUACAUUUCUAACAAAAGUUUAGUCCAUUUUUACCACACAAAAAAAAAGGAAAUAAAAUAACCAAUAAUAUUCUUGCAUGACGAAUUAUUCUUACUAGACACCAAUUUGUUUUUUAUUUUUUCCUUCUGAGUGCUACUCGAGACUCCAACUUAUUAGUUUUUGCAUCAAUUUUUGAGAUCCCAAAUGCCGUGCCAAUGUUUCAACGCGAUUUCUAUUCACAUUUUACAACUAAGAAGAAUUUGCCUUGUGACUUGGUAACCAAUAAUUGGUCUCUUGUACUAUUAUUAUGUUUAUCAUUUCCUACAUAUUUCCAAAAUUAGACCUGUAAUAUCAUUUGCAUCUCAGUGUAAAAUCCGAUAUGUUUGGUAGCUGGAGAAUAUAUUCUCAAUUUGCAUUCCAAUUUGUAUAUAAUAACUCUUCUUCAUGCAUUCACUGCUACAGAUAGACUCUAUUCAAUAGCUGCAAUGAGCAACGAGCAGCAGAAUCCUUCUUCGUCUUCUAACCGGUGCACAUAUGAUGCAUUCUUGAGUUUCAGAGGCGCAGAUACACGCAAGGGCUUUACAGAUCACCUCUACAAUGCUUUGAAGUUAGCAGGAAUCCACACUUUUAGGGAUGAUGAUGAAAUUGAGAGAGGAGAAAACAUUGCACAGGAGCUACAGACAGCAAUACAAGAGUCACAAGUAUCAAUCAUUGUUUUCUCCAAGGACUACGCCUCUUCCAGGUGGUGCCUGAAUGAACUUGCUAUCAUCAUGGAACGUAAAAGAACAGAUGGACACAUGGUUAUCCCAGUUUUCUAUUAUGUGGAACCAUCAGAUGUCAGGAAGCAGACGGGCAGUUUUGCAGAAUCAUUUACUAGACAUCAAGAACAAUUCAAGGACGAGAUAGACAAGGUGGAGGAGUGGAGGCGAGCUCUUAGAGAUGUUGCAGACUUGGGAGGGAUGGUUUUAAAAGACCGGUAAUUUUCAUUCUCUCCUAUAUUCAGUCAAGUAGAUCAGAUGCUAGUCUCAAGCUUGUGAAAAUUUUAGUUUUUUUUUUUUUUGAAAAAAUAAAUAAAUAACUUGCUUGUGUUUUUUCUUUUUGUAUGAUAUAUUUUUAUAUCAAUAACAUAUAGGUACGAGUCGCAGUUUAUCCAAGAAAUUGUUGAAGCUGUUGGAAAAAAACUGGACUACAUGACAAAUUGGAGACUAAGAGUUGAGCCCUAUGUGAUUGGAAGAGAUUAUCAUGUGAAAAGACUAAACAUGUGGCUGGAAGAUGGAUCAAAUGAUGUUGGAGUAGCUGUCAUCCAUGCAAUGGGUGGAAUAGGCAAGACCACCAUUGCUAAAAUUGCUUAUAACCAGAACUUCAAUAAAUUUGAAGCUAGCAGCUUUCUUUCAGAUAUUAGGGAAACUUCCGGACAAGCCAAUGGUUUUGUUCGCUUGCAAAGGAGACUUCUUUCAGAUAUCCAAAAGAGGAAAAUGGAAAAAAUAGACGGGCCUGAAGGUCUAGUAAAGAUCAAACGGGUUGUACGUUGCAAAAGAGUUCUUAUUGUUCUUGAUGAUGUGGAGAACUCGGAGCAGUUCAAUGCAAUUCUUGGAAUGCGAGACUGGUUCUAUCCUGGAAGUAAAAUUAUAAUAACAACUAGGCAUGAACAUUUGUUAAAGGCUCAUGAAGUUGUAAGGUUUAAGGUUGAAGGAUUGCAUGAGGAUGAAUCACUUAAGCUUUUCAGUUGGCACGCCUUUGGACAACCCCGUCCUCAAGAAGGUUACAUGGAGCUUUCAAGACCCAUAGUAGAACAUUGUGGAGGGGUUCCAUUAGCUCUUAAAGUUCUGGGAUCUUCUCUAUUUGGAAAAACAGCAGAUAUAUGGGAAAAUGCAAUACACAACUUAGACGAGUUUACUGAGGGAAAAAUUCGAAAGAUUCUUUGCAUAAGUUUUGAUUCUUUACAAGAUCAUGAUAAACGUUUAUUCCUCAAUAUAGCCUGUUUCUUCGUGGGAAAGAACAAGGAUUUUACAACUACAAUCCUUGACGAAUGUGAUUUUGCCACAAAGGUUGGACUUCAACGUCUGGUUGAUAGAUGUCUUGUGGAAAUUAAUGUCUACAACAAGUUAACCAUGCAUCAAUUGCUUCAAGACAUGGGAAGGGCAAUAAUUCGCGAAGAAUCACCUGAGGACCCUGGAAAACGCACUAGACUGUGGCAUAAAGAUGCAAUUAACGUUUUGAGAAAAUUAACGGUAAGAUACAUGAUCUUUGUCUAUAUAUAUUUGCAAUGGUGUUCUGCAUGUGAUUAGUAACUUAUCCAGUCCUCUUAUUUGUAAGCAGGG